rnacentral:lncRNA from 1 species
GGGCUUACUAUUUUUAACAUUUUUAUUUUCUUUUCAACAUGAUAUGAACCUGAUUAACUAAGCAAACUAUUUUAAAAUAAUUGAAAGGAAAAAGAUAACUACCAAGUUUACCUCUUGGCAAGGCAUUCGGUGUUUUUAAGUCCUCCGAACGGGACUCUCCGUUUUCUCAGUCGUCCUGGAAUUCGCUGGGUGGCGUAGUCGGUGGUUCCGGUGGCGCCUUCUCUUCAUGUAUAACUAUCUUCUCUCUCCACACCUGACUCGGUGCUACGAUCUCCUCAGGACAAUUCUGUUCAAGUUGUGUGUCUUUAGGCCUUACCACUUCUCCUUUAUAGUCUGCCCAUCCGUCCUUAAUGAUUUGCCUCCUCUGGUUGCGGUUGCGUCGUCUUCUUCUUGUCCUGACCUACUUAAAGUCUUCAACUAUAUAGUUAGGGUCAGUAAAAUAGCGGCGUACCUUCUCAGAGGGGAAGUUCAUGUGGACUUCUCCGGUUCCAAUGUAGAUGAUUGUUUUAACGGUGCUGAGGAACUGUCUCCCAAGGAUGAUAGGUGGAUCGUACUCAUCUUCUCCCAUUUCAAUAACCUUUUGGAAUGUCUGAUCUGCCAUCUGGAGCUGAAUGUAUGUUGGUUUUAGGGGCAUGGUUCCGAACAGGAGUUGAUAGGUGACUGCGGCCAUUAUGUUGACGCCUGACCUGGUGUCGCAUAGCGUCUUCUGGAAGUUGUAUCCAUUAAUGGAGCACUGGAUGCUUGGCAUACCUGGGUCAUCCUUUUUAGUUAAGAACGGUGACUUAAAUCGACGAUCUUGACCUCCUUGAAGUGCAGUGACCAUCUUAGCUGAAUCGGUCCACAUUUGCUUGUUCCUGUUCCUCCUGUUGGUCCUCUUCCUUGGUUCAUGUCGGGAUUGCUCCUAGAUCUGUGUAGUCCUGUUCUUGAAGGAAAACGUCUCCUUCCUCCCUUGAUGUGGAAACUGAUUUUGACAGCACUAGCGUAGAUGACAGCUCCUGAGGUAUUCAGGAAUGGCCUCCAUUGGAUGAUGGGUGCCCUCUCAUCACUACCAGUCUCUAUUACCAAGAAGUCUGCUGGGGCGUACAAGGUACCAACUCGGACGCAGAGGUUCUUCAAUAUUCCAUUUGGGAAACUUAGUGUCUGAUCUGCAAGCUGCAAACACAUGGUUGUUUCUAGUAAAGGAUGUGUAAAGAAUAUUUCAUAGAGUACCCUGAGCAUAAUGUUGACGCUGGAGCCAAAGUCGCAGAGUGCUUCUAGGAAGUCCACCAUGCCGAUGGAGAUCAGGAUGAGGGGCGUCCUGGAUCGCCUCUCUUGACCGGCAGAAGGUCAGUAAUUACUUCCACAACAGGGUUACUCCAGAAGUUAUGUCCUUAAGCAUCUCAGGGCAGUGAUUGCCUGAGUGUCCAGUAUCUCUAGUGUGUUUGUGCUCGUAGAUCUAGGUUCUUCACUUGGUGGAGUCUAGGAGUUGUAAAAGUCCUUUAUAUUUUGCUCGAAGUGUACCUGCUCAUAGAGACAAGGCAGAGAUCAAGUGCAUGGGCCCUGUUGGUGGAAACACCAACAGAACCAAAAGUGUAUUUGUUCUUCUCUAUCCUUAAGCAUAGUGAGCAAGACAAAGUUGAUGGAUAAUGAGUGUAGCAUUUAAAACAUUUGUCAGAUCAGAUCGCUCAACCUAAUGGAAAUAUAAUCUAUCUAUACUUUUGUUUAUAUAUAUAUAUAUCUUCCAAAGUUUGCGUGUGCAACAUUUUAGUUCAUAUGAUUAAGAGUGUGGGAUCACAAAGGUGGAAGAACUAAACAUUUUGAAUCGAUUGGGUUGGUUAAUCUAGAGUUGUAAAUCAUACAUGUUUGUCUCUUUUACUCAUGUGAACGCCAAAACCAAGGAGAAGCUUAUAAAAGUGAUAGUCAAGUACCUUAAGAUGUUACCUUACUUGAAGAGUGAUGGUAUAGUAUCACCUUGUGGAAGCUUUUCUUUCUUAGCAGUUGUGCAUCGUGUUUGUGGCACCCUCCAUGGAUCAUCUCUUGUGAGCUAUGUCUUCCGUGUAAAUUGUUAAACUUCAUGUGUCUCUCUCUUUGUCUCCAAUGUUGGUUUAUCUCUGGACUUCCCAAGACGAUAUUGAAAGUGUUCCUGCAGGGGUUAGUCCAACAAAAUAUCCAAUAUCUACUAUAGCAUACUAUCGGCUCAAAAAUCAACCUAGACACCAUGUCUAAUUUGAUUUAGGAGGGCAUUUUAACCUAAGCAGCAUGCUUAAUUUAAACUCCCUUGGAAGUAAGAUCAACAUUCCUAACUAAGCACCAUGCUAAUUAAGAGAUAAAUGAAACUACUCCAAACCUAGACAUAUACUAAAGCAAAUAAAGGUAGCAUGAGAGCAUUUAUAGAGAUCUACUUAAGUGGAGAUGAAGUGGUGUGAUUAGUAUUUAACAAAUUGAGCAUGUCUCAAAGGUAGGGUCAACCAACAUGGCAAAGGAUGUUUUUUUGUAAAGUACUCCCCCAAGCUUGAAUUUUGCAAAAUUCAAGGUUGGAUGAAUUUAAUUCAAUGUUGUAUGAUGAUUGGUUGGACAUACCUUGUGCUUGUCAUUCAUCCGAUCUUCUUGCUCCAAUCCUGGAAAGGUUAGUGACAAGAAUACCCGAAGGAAUAUUUUUACAAUUAUCCUUAUAUGCUCAACACACAAGGUAAUGUUGCAAAUAAUUAAAAGCUCAUGUUACAAUCUGAUCAGUGCUUGUUUUAGGACACUAAGCUUGUCCUUGGGAAACCAUCAAUUUAUGUCGGCGAAGUGGUUUCCCCUCCAACGCUGACCUAUAUCAAGAUCAACUCAACGAGAUCUGCAAUAUUUAAUAUAGACAUAUGCAUCCACAACCGCCCUUUUAAAGUUUUUAUAAAUAGAAAGGAUGAGGGGGUUGGAGAUCUCGAAUGUGGUGAUGUUGGAAAAACCAAUGGAUUGGGAAGAUGUUGCAUAUGAGCACGGAGUAAAUGAAGUGGCUAUGAAAUAAAUUCCAUGCUCAUUAAUGCUUGGAGUGAAAUCCGUGUGGUAUGGUGAAAAUGAUAAGGUGAUUGUGGUAAAAAAGGAAAGGAAAAAGGAUACACGGACGACUUGGUUCGAAACUAGCACAGCUACCGUUCCCCGGCAAUGGCGCCAGAAAGCUUGUUUGGUAUUUUAAACGCAAACAGAAAAAUCCGCAAGCGAACGGAUACCAAUGUAGCUUUCACCCGGGAGUAUUCCAGAGUAUCGAUUUUCCAGAGGGAACGUGAGUGUACUAAUUAAGAAUCAAGAUUGCCCAAGGAUAACUAUAUAGUUAUUUUUGGUGGGAAGAGAGGAAGUUUCCUGAGAUUUCUCUAGUUGAUCUAAGAAUCAAGAAUUACUUCAAAGAUUAUUUAUUUCGGGACAUCAGAGCACUAACCACAGAAAGAGAUGAGAAGGGGGCUAGGAAGGUCUGACUACGGUCCUCCAAACACUAAUCCGAACGAGGUGGAAUACGUCGAUCGUUAGGGCUGUCACUACCCUAAGGCUACCACAACAAUCCGCAGGAUUGGGUGCAAUUCCAGGUAAUUGCAAGACUAAACACCACGUCUAAUCUAUUAAUUACUACUCUAGCGUUUCAAAGACUAGAGCACUUGAUGCAAGCGGGAAUCCAAUAAAUAACUUGAAUGUAAAUAAAAGUAAUUAAAGAACUCAGGAAUUAUGAAUUGAAGAACCAAGAGAACGAUGAAGAACGAACCAGUUGCUGCAAAAGUACAAUGUUGAGGAAGAUCCGACAGAUCCGGCUCCUCCUCCUUCGCUCUCCUCUUCUCUCUCCCUAUUUUCUAGAUUACAACUAGAACUAACUAGAACUAGAACUAGAGGAACUAGAACUAGAAGAACUAGAGGGAUCCUCUCUACAUGGAUGAAGAAUUGAAACCCUAGCUUUGAUUCUGUAGAAGAGGUAUGAUCUCCAGGGGCCAGGGGGUCUAGUUUUAUAGUCCCUUCAAGGGAAUAUGGGCCGUUGGAUCAAACCGACAUUGAUUGAAUGGUUAUCCUUGAUCCUUUAGGUCGGUGGAGCAUGAUCCCCGAGUUGUACCCUGAUUGGGCAGAAUAGGUGGGCGGGCGCCCUCAGGACUUGGGCGGGCGCCCUGUCCCUGAGCCCUCUCGGCCUCCGCUUCGGUCCCGUGGCUUCUGGAGUCUUCUAGAUGAUAGAAAAUUGCACAGCACGUUAAUAUAUCUAUGUAAACCCAAUGUGUGGGCCUUUCUUCCGUAUUUCCUGAUAACCCCCUGCAGAAAUAGACAAACACCAAAACUCGUGGAAUUCUGUCAAAUAAAACCCUAAGUCUAGGUGUUGGUUGCAUUUGGAUCCUUUUCCAUGAUUAGUUGAUGGUUAAAUGUGAGCAUUAAGGACUGUCAACAACCCUCGAGUGGAGAGUUUCGUAGAGUCAUCCUCCACUUCCUGACAAGAUGCCGGUGAGACUCAUCACCGCCGAUGAUUGGCGCCCAUCGACCAUGACAGAGCGUCGGCUGUGGGACUUGGAGAAUGAGGGGCUCCUGCGCCCCGGUGCUUCCUUGAUGCGGCCUUAGUGGAUCGUGCCGCCGGCGGAUCACCAGGAGUCGAACAUGCCGAUGGGCUACGUCGUCUCCUUCGCCAAGUUCCACCGCCACAGGCUCGGAUACCCUCCGAGCCGCUUCAUGAGGGCGCUCUGCCUCCACUACGGUGUCGAGCUCCAUCACUUUUCCCCCAAUGCUAUCACCGCUGCGGCAAUCUUUGCCGCGGUGUGUGAGGGCUACUUGGGUGUGAUGCCGCACUGGGACCUGUGGCUCCACAUCUACCGGGGCGAGCUAUUUCGCGCUCUCGGUUGGACCGCUGGGGUGAAGAAGCCAAUCCGGGCCGGCUGCCUCAACCUAGUUCAGAAGAUGGGCCAUUCGGAAGAGCCUCGAGAGUACAUCCCAAGUGGGCUAACGUUCAACCACGCCCAGUGGGAUUCGUAGUGGUUCUAUCUCCGCAAUGAUGACGACGUCUUCCCCGCCUACACCGGGCGGUUGAUCUCAGUGCGCCCGAAGAACUGGAACUAUGGCGUCAUCAAGACUCUCUAGGCCUAGCUCCGCCCCCUUCUCGAUGCCCUAAAGAAGCUGUGCGAGGAGGGCUUGACUGCCACACUCGUCCUCUUGGCGGUCCAUCAUCGACGGGUACUCCCGUGGAUGUCUCAACCACUGAGAAUGGAUGAGAAGGGCCCUCGCAUUCCGCUACGGGACUUCGAGGUGUGCCAGAUGUCUAACAAGGCGCCUCCGAACGAGGAGGUGGCCGCCAGGGUCUGAGCGGCCAUUGCAGGCGACUUCCAGCCGGAGCAGGUGAACGGCUUCCCCAUGAAGCCUGAGGAAGGCUACUAUGAUCUAGUAAGCCCCUCGAGUGAUCGUUACUCUGCCUUUGCUGUUGGUUUUGUCGUUUUCUUUCCCAUUUUUCCAAGACUUAAGCCUAUUUUGCCAGGGGACGAUCGACGCCCGGUCCUCUAAGCCUUUGGUGAAGGAGGAUGACGUUGAGCAUGAGAAAAGGCACGCCUCCACGGAGAAGCAUAAAUCUGCAAAGGACGCAGAGAAGAAGGAGAAGAGGAAGAACCUCGAGCGUCAGGCGCUCGAGGAACGACAAUCCAAACAGAGGCAUAAGGGGGAGCCUGAGGAAGAAUCCCCCGAUGAAGAUGAUGGUGACGAUGAUGAUGAUGAUGAUGAUGAUUCUGAGGGGAAGGUGGCUCGCCUCGAUUGGGUCCUGCAAAGCCUGCUGCAAACCAAUGUCUCCUCGUCAUGUGUGAGGGCUUCCGAGGGGCCGCAAGGCGGGGACCUCGACAGGCGCCAAAAGGAGGCGUCGCCUCGCCGCCCGCUCGCUGACACGCCCCCUGCCCCUGCCCAAGGUUGAGCUGUUCCUCCGCCACAACCCCUUCCAGCGUCUGGCCUAGGCCGCAGGGUCAAAACCGUGGUGACGGGGCCGCUGACUUGAGGCCGCGCUGCCGCGGUGGCCUCGAGCCAGGGAGGAGGGCAUCAGAGGAGCGCUAGUCCCGGGGAUCGUUAGGGGGGAGAGUGGAGCCGAGGCCCACGCCUGUCCUGGAGAAACCAGGGGCCACAACACACGGCCGCUCGAGGCCUGCUGGCCGCGGGACUAGUAGGAAGGUCGUCCUUCAUGUAGGGUAAGGUCUUCAUACCGUGAUUUUGUCUUUGUUGUCUCGUUCAUCCACAGGCUCCCACCAUCUUAGGCCCUUUCUUUCCUGCUCAGGUUGAAGAGGCAGUUGGAGCAGGCCCAGCCCUCGAUGGCUAAGAGGCUCAAGGUGGGGGUGAGCUCCAAGGCUCCGGGUAAGUGGCUCGCUUGUCUCUUCAUGGUUUUGGGGUUGACUCUACUUAGCGCAAAGAUUCCGUGUGACUGAUGUGUUGUUUUGGGUCGUAUGCAGGCCCUCUUGACCCAUGACUACCCGCAGGUGGUGACAAGACCCCGCCACGCCCGUCGGAGGGCGUCUCACCGCCCCCUAGACAGGGCGGGACGCCUUGCUCCCAAAGUCAGGAGGGAGCCCCCAAGCCGCCCAAGUCGGGGGGAGAGGGUGACCCCAUCACUAUUAGUGAUGAGUUCGAGGAUGGCCCGCGCUCGACAGGCGCUCGUGUAACGGACAAGGGGGUCAAGACCCCUCAGGUUAGGGGACGGACGCCAUGGCCCAUUGGGCUCCAUUCCAUUGAGGAAGAGAAGAAGAGGAAGAACGAGGAGGAGCAACAGAAGAGGAGGGAAGAGGAAAAGAAGAAAGAGGAGGAAGAGGGGAGCAACGUCAUCUACUAGAGCUGCAACAACAAGAGGCGCAGGAGCAGCAGCAGAAGGAACAAGAGGCGUAGGGGCAGCAGCGGCAGCUCGAGGAACAGCUGGAGUAGCACCGACAGCAAGAGCUAUAGGAGCUUCAACUGCAGCAGUGGCAGUUGGAGGAGCUGCCCGAGUAACAGCAACUGUAGGGGCUGCUUGAAUAGCAAUCGCAGCAACCACAGCAGCAGCAGUAGCAGCUCGAAGAAUGGCGGAGGCUCGAGACGGUGGAGGAGGAGCUACCAGUUUACGGGCCCACCACUCCCUCAUGGCUUCGUCUGGGGCGCCUGCCACCGUCCUGGCAGAGCCAUGAUGGGAGGACGGUGUCAUGGCGCUGGUGCUCGCCAGGCGCACACCAGUGGAUCCAAGCUCAGAGAUUAAGGGCACCCUCUAUGGCAUCAAGGGGAUCGCCCCGGGCUACCUAGAGGGUCGGCGACCAUGGGAAGACAUGCCUGGAACUUCUGGCGCUGGUGGGGAAGAUGAGGCUAGGACCUCUGGUGGCGGCGAGGUAGGCGAGACCGGAACGUGGAAGUCUGUUGACAAGGAUGGGCGAUUUCCCUCUCUCAUCGACCUAUUUCUGCGCCAUGGAGUCUCACUCGAGACAGUGUAGGAACUUAUCCGAGGCGUCAAGGCACGCACAAAAGAAGAGCUCGAGCAUUGGGGGUUCUGGAAGGAUCCGCCUUCAAGCCUCCAUGUCUUUGGAUGAGCCCAACAUUAUGAUGGACGAUCGAAAGGAGGCUGAAAAGUGGGAGCACCUUGAAGAGCUUCGUCUUUGGAUGAAGCACGUCGUGGGUCUAAUGUCUGACAUCAUCAAUAAUGGCCUGGGCUAGGCCUUCUUUGUAAGGACCCCUGGACUCUCGUCGCUUGUAAUUUCUUGUUGAACUAGCGCGCUUAUCACCUCAUGCUCUGUUGCAGGACUUGAAAGAGACCUCCCAGCUGAAAUCGGGCUUCAUUCACGCGACGAGGGGUGGUUGGGAGCAGCUCCCUCUUCUCUAGGAUCAACUCCUCGAGUCACAAGAAAAGCUCCUUCAGGCGUACAAGGAUCUUACUGUGGCCCUAGAGCAGAAGUAGGAGAAGGAGGCCGCUUUGACUGAAGCUUAGAAGGCCUUGUCUGGUAUGGACGGGUCUCUCAGGCGGGGGAAGACGCCCAUGUUGCUCGAAAGGCCGUGGAGAAAGCAAAGGAGGAAGCGGCCCAGACAAAGGAGCAGGCUAUCUCGGCCGAGGAGGCGGCUGCCAAGGCCCGGGAGGAGGCUACGCAGUAUAAGGAUGAGGCCGUCAAGCUAGACAAAGGAAAAAAGCUCAUCGAGUUAGACCUUGCCGCUGCCCGGAGCGCUUAUGCCGGGCUAAAGGAGGCGCUUCUGAAGAGCGAAAUUGCCCGAGGCGCCAUGGAAGAGACUGAGAAGAAGGCACGUGAGGACCUCGAGGCAGAGCGAGCCCGCUCUCGUGGCCUUUCUGACGACAUCGACCAUCUAAAGAAAGCGCUGUUGGAGAAAGAAGACGCUAUCCUGCAGUCGGGCAAGCUGAUCGAGGACCUUCGGGUCAAGGAGACAGAGCUGGCUCGCUCCUAUAAGGAGAUUGAGAAGAGCAACACCGACUUGGUCGGUGAAAAUACAACCCUUGAGGAGAAGGUCCACGGUAAGUUUUCUAUGCCCUUAUGUUUUCUUUGUUUCUGUGAUGUAACUUUUCUGUCGCCUGACUCCUUAUCUUAAUUUCUGCAGGUCUUAAGGAUGAUCUGCUGGCCGCCAAGGAUGACGCCUAGUCUUUUAAGGCUCAGCUCGAGAGGUCGCCUUGACUGGAUGAUUUUGGACGGCGGUCAAUGACCUCUCGACCUCCUCGGAGCUCGAGCCUGCAAAUGAAGCGAGGGAGGCUGCUCGAGGCGACGCCCUGGUCGACCAGUUAUGCUAUCUGGGCGCCACUCUGAGGGACCGAGUGUGGGAUGCACUCCAUACUGGGGUGAAGAGGACUAUGGCGAUUGUCUGCUCGGGCUUCUCCUAUGAUAUGGAGGUGGUGUCCCACGGCUUCAUCACUGACAUCUCCAAGACCGACGCUGAGAAUGAGCAGAGGCUCCAUGACUUGAUCGAUGACGCAGAGGUUCCUGGUGAAAGGCUGGUGAAGUUGUUCGAGCUAGAGGUGCUCCCUCCUGAGACCGGCGCGGGCACGGCAGAUGGGGGCGAGGAUGAGGACUGAGGCCUACGAGCCUAAUCUGGGUAUUUAGACCCAUUGUAAUAUAUUUAGCACUUGUAUCAAAUAAACGUUGUGGCCCAAGUGGCCUUAAGACUUGCGGUUUCUGUAUACCCUUGUUAUUUUUAUGCUCGAGUUUCUUUUAUUUCCUUGCUGCCUAAGUUUGUGUUUCCUCGAUCGAUCUUUCAUUAGAACGUCUUCGAUUGCCUUGAGGGUAAGGGAGUGAGUAGGGUUACCAUAGACUAGAGGCAUAGGGGUUCUCAGGCUCGACGUCCCUCGGCCCUUUAGGGGCUCGAGGUGCUUUUACUACUCGAUCAUGUGAGGUUUCCUUAGGGCUUGAAAGGGAAAAGAUAACAUCGUGCUUUUAAAAAAAAGUUUGAUUUUUAGGAGCCUGUGGGGGGGUCCCCAUACUAGCCCCCGAGGGAGUUUCGACUAUGAUGGGUCAUAGUCGAGACUUCCUCCAAACGUCGAGAUUUAACUAGUAAUAACAUGCAUUACUUGAAAAAGUACUUUCGUUUAUUCACAUAUUCAUUCACAGGGCCUUGAUGGUACAAGAUGUGCAUGAAAAUGUAAAGCCUCGAAGCUCUAGGGGUAGAAGCGACGUAGCUGUUCGAUGUUCUAUGCGUUGGUGAAGACUGCCCCCUUUUCGUCUGCGAGCUUGUACGUUCCUGGCUUCAAGACCUCCGCCACCAUGUAUGGGCCUUCCCAAGGUGGAGUCAGCUUGUGGCGUCUUCAUUGCUUUGCCGCCGACAUAGGACGAGGUCGCCCAUGUUCAGGUCUCUCUUGCGCAUGUGCUUGUCGUGGUAGCGUUGAAGCUUCUGUUGGUACCUUGCGGAGUUGAGGAGGGCCAUGUCUCAAGCUUCCUCGAGCUGGUCAACCGCAUUCUCUCGAGUCUUCUUGUUUGUCUGCUCAUUGUAGGCUUUGAGUCGAGGAGACCCAUACUCGAGGUCUGUUGGAAGCACAGCCUCGGAGCCAUAGACCAUGAAGAAUGGGGUGUAUUUCGUUGCUCUGCUUGGCGUUGUUCUUAGGCUCCACAAGACCAAGGAGAGUUCCUCGACCCAUUUCUUGCCGAACUUCUUCAAUCGGUUGUAUAUUCUAGGCUUGAGCCCUUGCAAAAUCAUGCCGUUGGCACACUCAACCUGACCGUUAGUUCGAGGGUGAGCUACUGCGGACCAGUUCACACGGAUGUGAUGCCGAUCACAGAAGUCCAAGAACUUUUUGCCAGUGAAUUGUGUGCCAUUGUCGGUGAUGAUGAUGUUGGGUAUCCCAAACCGAUGGAUUAAUGUCGGUGAAGAAGAGGAUAGCUUGCUCAGAGGGAAUGUUGUGACGGGUCGAGCCUCAAUCCACUUUGAUAACUUGUCGAUGGCUACCAGCAAAUGGGUAUACCCUCCUGCUGUCUUUUGGAGAGGGCCGACGAGGUCAAGGGCCCAUACUGCAUACGGCCAAGUGAUGGGGAUCAUCUGUAGAGCAUGAGUGGGGAGGUGGGUUUGCUUGGUGUAGAAUUGGCACCCAUGGCAUGAACGAACGAGCUCGAUGGCUUCAGUGAUGGCAGUUGGCCAGUAAAAGCCUUGUCAGAAGGCGUUGCUGACGAGGGUUCUAGGAGCCGCAUGGUGGCCACAAGCCCCUGAGUGUAGAUCCUCGAGGAGCUUCCGUCCUUCUUCUAUAGUGAUGCAGCGCUACAAGAUCCCAGUCGGGCUUCGUUGGUACAGCUCUUUGCUUUCACCAUAGAUCACGUAUGAUUUGGCCCGUCGAGCGAUACGACGAGCCUCAGAUCAAUCUUCUGGUAAUUCACCCCGGAUCAGGCAGUCGAGGUAAGGUGUGCGCUAGUCAAACGGUUGCCUAGGGCGCUAAGGGUUUGCUCGACUUCCAUUAUUGCCACCGUCAUUAGGAGAGCCUCGAUCGUGUCGAUGGGCUCAGGGGUGGAAUUUUCGACGCUAACCCCCGCGCCUAGGUCGAUAGAUAGCUCGAGCAGGUCCCUUGAGAAUGUGUCUGGGGGACAGUGCCUCGAGUGGAUGCAAUCUGGGGGAUAGUGCCUCGAGUGGAUGCCUCGACCGCUUCAUUGUAUCGUUGUGCGAUGUGAAUGAGCUCGAGGCCAUGGAACUUGUUCUCCAGCUUGCGUACCUCCUUUCAGUAAGCCUCCAUUUUUGGGUCAUGCAACUUGAGGCUUUCAUGACUUGAUCGAUGACCAGUUGAGAGUCAAGUCGAAUGUCAAGGCGUCGGACUCCUAGCUCGAUGGCGAUCCAUAGCCCGUUGACAAGGGCCUUGUAUUCUGCAACAUUGUUUGACGUGGCAAAAUGUAUUCGGAUGACAUACCUGAUGUGGACAUCGAGAGGUGAGAUGAAUAGCAGGCCUACACCAGCUCCUAUCUUCAUGACUGACCCGUCGAAGUACAUCGUCCAGAGUUCCGCUUGGACCUGAGCCGGGGGGAGCUGGGUGUCUGUCCAUUCUAUGACGAAAUCCGCCAGUGCUUGAGACUUGAUGGCUUUGCGAGGCGCAUAGGUGAGGGUCUCCCCCAUGAGCUUGACCGACCACUUGGCGAUCCUCCCAGUGGCCUGUCGAUUCUAGAUGAUCUCGCCUAGCGGGAAGGAUGACACCACCAUGAUCAGAUGGCUGAGGAAUUAAUGCUUCAGCUUGCAUCUGGUGAGAAUCACAACAUAAAUCAAUUUUUGAACCUAGAGCUAUCGUACCUUUGUCUCUGAGAGCACCUCGCUGAUGAAGUAGACCGGCCGCUGAACUGGUAGCGCGUGCCCUUCCUUUGGCCUUUCGACCACCACGGCCACGCUAACGACUUGGGUCAUUGCCACGACGUACAAAAGCAGAGGUUUCGCGGUCAAGGGGGCACCAGCAUCGGAGCAGUGGUCAACAUUCUUUUUAGUUUGUUGAGGGAUUCCUCAGCCUCGAUAGUCCACGUAAAGCGCUCAGCUUUCUUCAGGAGCCAGUAUAACGGCAACGCUUUUUCCCACAGCCUUGAAAUGAAAUGGCUCAGUGCCGCCAGAUAGCGUGUUACCUUUUGUAUGCCCUUGAUGUCUCGAAUCGGUCCCAUCUUGGUGAAGGCCAAGACCUUUUAGGGGUUGGCCUCGAUGCCACGCUGGGAGACUGAAAGGUCCUAAUAUGGCUAGAGGGGGGUGAAUAGCCUAUUUAAAAAUUCUACAAACUCACUAGAGCAAGUGGUUAGUAAAUAACAAAGCGAAGCUUUUUGCUCUAGCUAUAAAGGGGUGUUUGCAAGCCACCUAUCCAACAAUUCUAGUUGAUAUAAUCACUAGGCACACAAGAGCUAAGUUACUACUUACACUAGAAAGCUAUCUAAAGUUUCUAUACAAGAAAGUAAGAUACUCUAGUUUGCGGGAAUGUAAAUGAGAUGGUUUGAACUUUAUACCACCGCAUAGAGGGGAUGAACCAAUCAAUAAUAUGAAGUCCAAUCACAGGGAGAAAUCCAAAAUACAAUCACAAUGGAGACACAUGAUUUUCUCCCGAGGUUCACGUGCUUGCCGGCACGCUACGUCCCCGUUGUGUCGACCAACACUUGGUGGUUCGAUGGCUAAGAGGUGUAGCACGAACCUCGUCCUCACUAGGACACUACAAGAACCUACCCACAAGUGAGGUAACUCAAUGACACGAGCACUUUACUAGAGUUACCUUUCGGCUCUCCACCGGGGAAGGUACAAGACCCCUCAGAAUCACCGGGAGAUGGCCACGAACAAUGACCAACUCGUGCCAAAGCUCCUCCGCUGCUUCAAGCCAUCUAGGUGGUGGCAACCACCAAGAGUAAUAAGAAAACCGCAGCCAAAUCGAUCCCCAAGUGCCACUAGAUGCAAUCACUCAAGCAAAUGCACAUGGAAUCACUCCCAAUCUCACAAAGAUGUUUAAUCUAUGAAGGAGAUGAGUGGGAGGUGUUUGCUUAGGCUCACAAGGAUGUUAUGUAUGUUAGAAUGCCAAGAGUCUGAGCCCCAAGCUGGCCAAACACGUAUAUAUAGCCCCUCAAACAAAUAGAGCCGUUGGCUCUUUCGCUGGGCAAAACACGGGGUCACCGGACGCUCUUAAAGGGGCACCGGACGCUCAACACCUACAUCCGGUGCUCCAACGUUAGCCACGUGUCGUCUUUUGGAAUUCUCAUGUCAGAGUCUAACGGUCAACUGCAGUGCACCAGACGCUGAGCAAGUUGGCACCGGACGCAUCCGGUGCACACCGGUCUUAAACACAGAGAGGGUCUGCAAAACACAAGGUCACCGGGCGCACACCACCGGACGCUCCAAGCUGCAUCCGGUGCUCACCGGACUUAAACUCAGAGAGCUCUGCAAAAUGCUCAGGGCACCAGACUCACACCAACAGAUGCUCCAAACUGUGUCCGGUGCCUAUCGUUCGGUGCCUAACCCUAACCGAGCCAGGCUGCCUGCUCACCGAACACACAGGCACAACGUCCGGUGCUUCUGGGCCAGUGUCCUGUAAGUGUUCCACAGCGAGAAACACUCCCGCGAUUUCUCCAAUUUUCCCACCGGCGCAAUAGAAAAUAUGCACUUCAUUUUCUCAAAAAGCUCGGCGGGAGGGAGAGAGGAACCCAUCCUCUCUCUAGCCUUUAAACUCCACCUCCUUCUCAAAGUGUGCCAACACCACAAAGUGUAAACCAACAUGUGCACGUGUGUUAGCAUUUUCACAAUCAUUUUCUUUGAAGGAGUUGAGUUAGCUCACUAGGUUCUAAAUGCAUGCACAUGAACAAUGACACCUAGUGGCACUCGAUAACCACUUAGCCAAAGAAUUCCCCCGUUUAUAGUAUGGCUAUCUAUCCUAAAUGUGAUCACACCCUCUAUGGUGUCUUGAUCACAAAAACCAAAACCCUAAGCAAUACCUUUGCCUUGAUCUCCAUAUGGUUUUGUUUUUCUCUUUCUUCUUUUCCAUGCUGAGCACUUGAUCAUCUUGUGGUCAUCACCAUCAUCACCAUGAUCAUCACUUGCUCCAUUACUUUGGCAUGUACCAACCACAUUAAGUCUACACACACUUAGUAUAGAGGUUAGUACAAGGGUUUCAUCAGUUAUCCAAAACCAAACUAGGGCUUUCAAUCUCCCCCUUUUUGGUAAUUGAUGACAACCCUUUUUACAAAGAUUUUCAAUAAAACUUUCUUGAAUUCAUGUUGCUUGCCCAAGCAUUUUACCAUGUGCAAAGAUUAUGGACAAGUUUCAUAAACCGAAAUUGGUAGCAAUUGCUCCCCCUACAUAUGUGCUAAGAGUUUGGAUUUGAAAGCUUGCACAUAUGCUUGAAUAGGAAAUAUAGGAGUCAAUUUCUACCGAAUGGUGCUAAGGUGUAAAGAAUGGACCUUUGAAGUGUGAUACCAAUCGGAGUUGCCAAUAUACACCAUCCUUAGCACCAUUAGUAACUAGACAUUCACAACCAUCAAUUUCUACCCAUGUGUAUCUUGUGAAAUCAUCUACUAUCACAAAUCCAUAUUUGUUUCCACCAAUGCUUGUGUAUGUGGUUGGUCCAAAUAGAUCCAUGAGCAACAACUCAAAUUCCUUGCAUGUACUCAUGAUGCUCUUCUUUGGAUGAGUGUUGCCAACUUGCUUUCCGGCUUGACAUGCACUACAAAGCUUGUCUUUCUCAAAUGUGACAUCUUUCAAGCCUCUAACAAGAUCAUGCUUGACUAACUUGUUCAAUUGUUUUAUUCCAACAUGACCAAGCCUUCUAUGCCAUAACCAACCCAUGCUAGAUUUAGUGAGCAAGGAUGUUGACAAUUGAGCUUCACUAGCAUUGAAAUCAACCAAGUAUAGAUUCUCAUAUCUAAAGCCUUUGAAUAUCAAGUUAGAGCCAUCUACACUUAUGAUCUCUACAUCAUCAACUCCAAAUAUGCAUUUGAAACCAAGAUCACAAAGUUGAGCUACGGAUAGCAAGUUGAAGUUCAAGCUCUCUACUAGUAGCACAUUGGAAAUUCUCAAAUCAUUGGAUAUAGCAAUUUUACCGAGCCCUUUGACCUUGCCUUUGCCAUUGUCACCAAAUGUGAUACUAUCAACACCAUUGUCAUCAUUUGGAUUGAUUGAAUUGAACAUUCUUGCAUCACCUGUCAUGUGUUGUGUGCACCCACUAUCAAGCACCCAAUGCCUUCCUCCGGCUUUAUAGUUUACCUACAAAACAAAUCAAUGUUUCUUAGGUACCCAUACUUGUUUGGGUCCUUGGAGGUUAGUGACUAAGCUUUUUGGUACCCAAAUGGCCUUCUUCUUUGGACCCACAACUGGUGUACCAACAAACUUAGCAUGCACACCCUUCUCACCCUUGGUAAGCACAUAACAAGAAUCAAAAGGAAUGUAGGGUACAUUAGCAAUUUUCUUGUUCUUGUUUAUUUUGUUGCAAUUAUGCUCUAGGUGCCCAACUUGCUUGCAUCUAUUGCAAUACCGACCAUUGCUCUUCACAAACCUAGGCUUGUGAGAUGCAAAGCCCACCUUGCCUUUCUUGGGGGCAUAGCCUAAUCCCUCUUUGUUGAGAGAAAACCUUUGGCUACCCAAGCACUUUAGCAAGCGGGCCUCACCACCAUAGGCUUUGCCUAAGGCGUGAGUGAGCUCAUCCACCUCUCUCUUGAGAGUCUCAUUCUCAUCCUUUAGUGAGGUAUCACAAGUGACACUAACACUAGAAGUAGAGGUAGAGUUGGUGGUGGUGGAUGAAGACCUACAAGAAGAGUUAGUGGCAACAACAAUAAGUGGGUUGAGUGAUUCUUUAAUUAAGUCACAUGUUGUGCCCACAUAACAUGAUACAACAACCUUUUCCUUGUUCUCUUCUAACAAAAAGGAGUGAGCUUUCUCAAGCUUGGUGUGAGCCUUGCCAAGCUUCUCAUGGGCUUCCACUAGCCUCUCAUGAUUAGCAUUGAGCUCAUCAAAGGAUUGCUCAAGAGCUUUCAACUUCUUGGUCAAUUCUUUUCACUUCUUGUUUUUAGAUUGAAUAAGUGAAUCGGCUUGUUCUAGCAUGUCCAUGAGUUGUUCAUUAGUGAAUUCAUCAUCAUUAUCACUAUCACUAUCACUAUCAUGUUGAUUUUCACUUUCACUUUCACUUUCAUCAUAUUGUACCUUGUGGCCCUUGGCCAUGAAGCAUGAAGGAGUGUCGAAGAGUGAUGGCUUGUUGAUAGCAAUGCUUUCAAGUGCCUUCUUCUUGGAUGCCUUGUCAUCAUCACUAGAAUCAUCAUCCGAAGAAGCAUCACUAUCCCAUGUCACAACAUAGGAUCCACCCUUCUUCUUCUUCUUGAAGACCAUCUUCUUCUCCUUCUUUUCUUUCUUCUCCUUCUUAUUCUUCUUGUCAUCCUCAUCAUUGUCACUAUUGUAAGGACAAUCCGCCACAAUAUGAUCGGGGCUCUUGCACUUGUAGCAUAGCCUUACAUGCUCCUUGUUCUUGAAGUGAUCUCUUCUCUUUCUUGUGUGAUAGCCCUUCUUCUUCAUCAUCUUGCCAAACUUGCGGACGAAGAGUGCUAGUGCUUCAUCAUCACUAUCAUCAUUGGAGCACUCCUCAUCACUUGAUUCUUCCUUCUUGGCCUUGCCCUUGUUCUUGCUCUUGGAUGAAGAGCUAGCUUUGAAUGCUACGCUCUUCUUCUUCUUAUCAUCAUCAUCCUUCUUCAUGACCACUUCAUCAUCAUUGUUAUUGUAUUGAUCUUCGGUCAUGACAUCUCCAAGUACCUCAUUGGGAGAUACACCCGUUAAUCCUCCUCUAAAUAUGAUGGUUCUUAAUGUCUUGAACCUCUUGGGCAAGCACAUCUAGAACUUGUGAAUGAAGUCCUCAUCCUUUACUUUAUCACCAAGGCCCUUGAGAUCAUUGAUGAUGACUUGGAGCCUAUAGAACAUCUCUAGGAUUGACUCAUCAUCCUUCAUCUUGAAGUUGGAUAGCUUGUCCUUGAGCAUAUACAACUUGGCACUUUUUACCGUUGUAGUGCCCUCAUAUGUUUCUCCUAGCCUUGUCCACACUUCACUUGCCUUCUCAAGAUCUUUGACUUGUUCAAAUACCUUUGAAUCAAUGCCAUUGUAGAUUGUGUUGAGAGCCAUAGUAUUGCAUUGCUUGUUUGCUCUCUCAUUGUCGGUGGGGUUGGCGGGGUCAAGGAUCACAAAAUCAUUGUCCGUGAGUUCCCACACUCUAUCAUUGAUUGAUCCAAGGUACAUUUUCAUUUUUCUCUUCCAAUAAUCAAAAGAACUUGUGCCAUCAAAGAAUGGUGGUUUGCCCACAACAUGGUUGAACACUAUUUGAGCCAUAAUUUGAGCACCGAGGUUGUUAAGCCUUCACAAAACGGUGACCACGGCUCCGAUACCACUUGAAAGGUCCUAAUAUGGCUAGAGGGGGGUGAAUAGCCUAUUUAAAAAUUCUACAAACUCACUAGAGCAAGAGGUUAGUAAAUAACAAAGCAAAGCUUUUUGCUCUAGCUCUAAAGGGGUGUUUGCAAGCCACCUAUCCCACAAUUCUACUUGAUAUAAUCACUAGGCACACAAGAGCUAUGUCACUACUUACACUAGAAAGCUACCUAAAGUUUCUAUACAAGUAAGCUACUCUAGUUUACGGAAAUGUAAAAGAGUGGAUGAGGAAAUUAUACCACCGAGUAGGGGAUGAACCAAUCACCAAUAUAAACAAUCAAGAACUGGGAUAAUGCCAAUCAAACACAAUUGAGACACCAAUUUUUCUCCCGAGGUUCACGUGCUUGCCGGCACGCUACGUCCCCGUUGUGUCGACCAACACUUGGUGGUUUAGUGGCUCAGAGGUGUAGCACGAACCUCGUCCUCACUAGGACACCACAAGAACCUACCCACAAGUGAGGUAACUCAAUGACACGAGCACUUUACUAGAGUUACCUUUUGGCUCUCCACCGGGGAAGGUACAAGACCCCUCAGAAUCACCGGGAGAUGGCCACGAACAAUCACCAACUCGUGCCAAUCCUCCUCCGCUGCUCCAAGCCAUCUAGGUGGCGGCAACAACCAAGAGUAACAAGAAAACCGCAGCUACAACGAUCCCCAAGUGCCACUAAAUGCAAUCACUCAAGCAAAUGCACUUGGAAUCACUCCCAAUCUCACAAAGAUGUUUAAUCUACGAAGGAGAUGAGUGGGAGGUGUUUGCUUAGGCUCACAAGGAUGUCUAGUAGUCAAGAAUACCAAGAGUGUGAGCCCUAAGCCGGCCAACAAGAAUUUAUAGCCCCUUAAACAAAUAGAGCCGUUGGCUCUUUUCACUGGGCAAAACAUGGGGUCACCGGAUGCUCUUAAAGGGGCACCGAACGCUCAACACCUGCGUCCGGUGCUCUAGAAACAGCCACGUGUCAGAGUCUAACGGUAACCUGCAAAGCACCGGACGCUGAGCAAGUUACCACCGGACGCGUCCGGUGUACACCGGUCCUAAACAUAGAGAGGUCUGCAAAACGUGCAGGGCAUCGGACGCUGAGCACCGGACCGUCCGGUGCUCACUGGUCUUAAACCCAGAGAGGUUUGCAAAAUGCACAGGUCACUGGACACACACCACCGGAUGCUCCCUGAGCGUCUGGUGCUUCUAGUCAAACACAUCGGCCAAAGUUAGAAAGGACCAGACGCACGAACAGGAGCUCCCCUGCGUCCGGUGUUCACCGUCCGAUGCUUAACCCUAGCACCACAGCACACCGGACUCCCAGCCUCUACGUCCGGUGCGUCAACGGCCAGCGUCCAGUGAGUGUUUCUUAGUGAGAAACACUCUCGUGACUUUUCCAAAGUUUCCCACCGGCGCAAUAGAAAAUAUGCACUUCAUUUUCUCAAAAAGCACCAAAUCCUGCCGAACCCAUCCUGUCUCUACCCUUCAAACUCCACCUCCUUCUCAAAGUUUGCCAACACCACAAAGUGUAAACCAACAUGUGCAUGUGUGUUAGCAUUUUCACAAUCUUUUUCAUCAAAGGAGUUAAGUUAGCUCACUAGGUUCUAAAUUCAUGCACAUGAACAAUGUCACCUAGUGGCACUUGAUAACCGCUUAGCCAAAGAAUUCCCCUCUUUAUAGUACGGCUAUCUAUCCUAAAUGUGAUCACACCCUCUAUGGUGUCUUAAUCACCAAAGCCAAAACCCUAAGCAAUACCUUUGCCUUGAUCUCCAUAGGGUUUUGUUUUUCUCUUUCUUCUUUUGCACAUUGAGCACUUGAUUAUCUUGUGGUCAUCACCAUCAUCACCAUGAUCAUCACUUGCUCCAUCACUUGGCAUGUACCAACCUCAUUAAGUCUACACACACUUAGUAUAGAGGUUAGUACUAGGGUUUCAUCAAUUAUCCAAAACCAAACUAGAGCUUUCACCUCAGCUGGCUCGAAGCUGCCUGCAUGGCGCUUAGGCUCUGGAGCCUCAGCGGUGAGGGCCUCGAGCCUCGAGGCAAGCUCGACAGAGCUCUCAACUGCUUCCCCGUACUCGAUGCACUCGACAUCGCAUUCGUAGGCGUGUUCAUAAGAGGAGCUGAUGGUGAUCACUCCCCUAGGCCCGGGCAUCAUCAACUUGAGGUAUGUGUAGUUGGGGAUCGGCAUAAACUUGGCGUAUCCUGGGCGGCCGAUGAUGGCGUGAUAGGUGCCUCGAAAACCCACCACUUCAAAAGUGAUGGUUUCCUUCCUGAAGUUGGCCGUCGUGCCAAAACAGACUAGUAGGUCGAUUCGACCCACCGGUAGCGCCUUUUUCCCUGGCACGACACCAUGGAAACCGCCAGUGCUGGGUUGGAGCUGUGCUCUCUCGAUGCCUAGGAGGUCGAGGGUCUCGAGGUAGAUGAUGUUGAGGCUGUUGCCACCGUCCAUCAACACCUUCAAGAGCCGGAUGUUGAUGAUGAUGGGGUCGACGACGAGCGGGUAGACACCAGGGGCGACAACCCUGUCGGGGUGGUCGUCGCGAUUGAAGGUGAUGGGGGUGCUCGACCAGUUGAGGUACUAUGGCACUGCCAUCCUCACCGUGAAAACCUCCCGGCGCUCCCUCUUGCGCUGUCUCGAGGUGAGCUGCGUCGAGGUUUCGUCGUAGAUCAUGUAACAAUCAUGGACGGUGGGGAACCCCUCAUCGUCUUUGUUUCUGCCCUUGUUGUCGCUUCUAUCCUUCCUUUGGUUGUCCUUCUUCAGCCUUAGGCUGUCAAAGUACUUCUUGAGCAUGCGGUAGUCCUUGAGCUAGCGAUUAGCCCCUCCCUUGUGGUAGGGGCAGGGCUCUUUGAGCAUCUUGUCAAAGAUGGCCCCCUCUAGGGGGCCUCGAGGCUUCUUGCGCUCGACAGUGGCGACGAAAUCAUCAUCGUGGGCCUCUCGCUUGAUCUGCCGCGUCUUCUUCUUCUUGUUGUUCUUUUUGGGCCCCUAGCUAGGGCCCUCGUUGUCGUCUGCAGGUGCCUUCCCCUUGUUGUUCUCGUGGCUGAAGAAAGCACCGACCGCCUCCUCGCCGGCGGCGUAGUUUGCCACCACAUCUAUCAGCUCAUCGACGGUCCGCGGACGAUUUCGGCCUAACUCUCGCACCAACUCCUUACAAGUGGUGCCCGAGACGAAAGUCAGAAUGACGUUGUGGUCGAGAAUGUGCAGGAGUUCGGUGCGUUGCUUGGAGAAGCAUCGAGCAUACUCUCAGAGGGAUUCUCUAGAUUUCUGCUUGCACUUGUUGAGGUCCCAUGAAUUGUCAGGGUGGAUGUAAGUCCCCUUAAAAUUUGCUUCGAACACCCGGACCAGGUCGGUCCAGUCGUGGAUUUGGUUGACAGGGAGCUCCUCGAGCCACCUUCGAGCGGUGUCGGAGAGGAAGAGUGGCAGCUGCCGGAUGAUGGCUUGAUCGUCCCCUUGAGCGCCUCCCAGCUGGCAUGCAAGCUAGAAGUUUGCUAGCCACAGUUCUGGCUUAGUUUCGCCAUUGUAUUUUGCGAUGCUGGUCGGGGGUUGGAAUGGGCUUGGCAGCGGCGUGCUGGGGAUCGCCCUGCUGAAGACUGGAGGGCCCGGUGGCUCUGGAGCCAUCCGGUCUUCGUCGCUAUCACAUCGUCUGCCACACUGGGCGCUGUAACUCUGCUCCUAAGCGUCACCGUGUCUACGGCGUCGAUGCUCGUUAAUGUCAUGUCGAGCGUUGCGCGGUCCUCGAUUGUCGACGAGGCGCUCCUAAACGGGCACCAUCUUCUUGCCUCGAGGCAGUGGCUCCUGAUGGACUGAUAUCUCCCUCUCAUUUCGGGCCGGCUCAGGGCACUUUUUUGUGGCUGCCCCUCGACGUCGAGAGGCUGAGCUCUCGGCUUGCUGGGUUGCUGCCAUGUGGAGCAGGCCCUGCACCUCGUCUCGAAUGCGCCAUGCCUGAGAGUUUGAGGGCUCUGUUGGGUAUUCUUAACAUCAUUACCAAAAGUAGACUAAGUUCUCUAAAUCUAGUAACGGUGCCAAAAAUGCCAAACCUAUCCCUCACACCACUUAAGCCAAGUUGUCAUCCCCAGCAUGAUAUAAGAGACACGGUAUUGAAAUAUGCAAUUGCUCUUCUAAAUAAAUAAUGAAUGGGAUCUGCAAGCGCACAGAUUAAUACCGAUGUAGCAUUUUAACCGGGAAGUAUUCCAGGUAUCGUUAUUUAUAUUUUUACCACUAGGAAGGGAUUAGCAAUCAUCACUAUUGAGUACAGAAUAGAAUAUGAGAUUGAGCAUCUAUCAUUGCAUGUAUAAUUGAGAACAUUAUAUCUAACUCUUCAUAUAGGGAUAAGUGUCACAUAAAAGAUAUAUGAAAUAAUAAUAGUGACAAGGAUAACUAAUCUGAUCUAGCCACAUAAUAAAUAUGAUAAGCACCUCAAUUAGAUACUCUAGAAAGUCAUUAGCAUGGUAUUAGAACGAACUACAAGAAUAUUCCCUAAGUUAUUCUCAACUAUAUAGUCUAGCAUAUCAUAGUUAGUGCAAGCAUACUUAGCAAUCAUUGCAAGACAAGACUACGCCCAUGCAUAGUGAUAUUAGCAAGGUAAAUGAGAAACUUAGCAAUCACUCCCCUGUAAUAAUGUUGCUCUGCCAGCCCAAUACACGAGAGGGGGACUAUAUAAGAAUCAAUGAAGCUGUCACUAUCACGAACCACCCCACGAUCUGGCAUAUUGGGUACAAUCGCAGAUAAAUACGGUAUAAGCACCACGCCUACACAAUAUCUAUCAUUUACCCAUGGAUCCGAUGGAUAAACGCUAUACGAUCCUAAGCAUGUAUAUAGAUCGAAUCUAACUAAGCCAAGUACAUAACUAUGAUAAACUAAGAACAAUAUAAUCUUGAAUAUAAGCAAGUAGAGCAAAGUCAUAAGCAAUAUAUUGAAGUAGAACAAAGUCAUAUUCAUAAUAUUGAAGAACAAAGAUAAUUAGAAAGUAAUUAGAAGCACAAUUAGCGAAUUACCAAGAAUCCACUUGACAGAUCCGGAAACCAAUCGAAGAUUGACUCCUUCUAGUUCUAAUCCUAUGUAGCUAUGCUAAUCUAGAUGUCUAAUUGAUGUGGUGGCUCUAAUCUUGAUCAGAGGCUUCUUCUCCCUUGAUGGAACAAUGAAUUAGGGUUGAGAGGCUCCCUCCUCCAGGGGCCAGGGGGUCUGGUUUUAUAGUCCCUCCAAGUGAAUAUGGGCCAUUGGAUCAAACCGACAUAGAUUGUAUGGUUUAGAUUCAUCCUUUAGGUCGGUGGAGAUCUCCCACGAAGCAGAGUCCUGAUUGGACUCAGGGAGGGGGCGGGCGCCCAGGGCAGGAGGGCGGGCGCCCUGCCUCUGGCCCCAUUUCGACUCCGCUUCGGUCUUGUGGCUUCUGGAGUCUUCUAGAUGUAAGAUAAUUGCGCGGCACGUUAAUAUCUCUAUGUAAUCCCGACGUGUGGGCCUUUCUUCCGUAUUUCCUGAUAACCCCCUACAGAAAUAGACAAACACCAAAACUCGUGGAAUUCUGUCAGAUAAAACCCUAAGUCUAGAUCUUGAUUUCAUUUGGAUCAUUUUCUUUAUUUAUUUGAUAAUUAAAUUUGAUACUUAAGGACCGUCAACAGGCUCAGGCUUCCACGAUGUUCUGACCAGCUCGAGGGAAACAACUUACGAGCCGCUCAGGCUCUUCAUCCCCGAUGAUCUAUUGGUACACGUCUCGAGCACGACCGCGCGUGCCCCCACCAUGCGGGUGCGGUUGGUCUCGCUCGAGGGCCUGCUCAAGCUAGCUGAGGCGCUUGCGAUCCUCGUCUAGCUUGGCUUUCAGCUCUCACAGCUGCGCAAGUUGUGGCCUUGUCGUCCUGAGGGGUGGGUCUGCCUACCCAUCGUUCCCAGGUGUCCUAGGAUCUUCCCUAGCUGCGGGAGCUCGAGCACCAGUGGCGGCGUCCUGCGUGUCGGCCGUGGUAGCCAUGGCCCUGUCGAUGUUGAAACAUACCCUUGUAGGGUCGUAGCUGUCGGAUUCAGAGUCGGGGUCUAGCUCGGUGGUGUAGAAACAUCCACGCCCCUCCUCCGACAACUGUUGUCUGAGCGUGGUGAGGGUGUAUCACCUAGGUCCUAGGCGUCGAGGCCUACGUAUCUAGGGAAAACCUGACUGCUCAGCCACUUGCUGAGUUUGCUGCUGCAUCUCUAUGUCGUGCGGGAGGACCAAUGGUCGCUCCACUCACGUCCCGGCACCUGGACAUAUGUCCUGCCGAGCGACAUCGCAGCGUUGUCCAACCUGAAUGGGAGCAUCCGCCUUGUGGCGAACAGACCAUGUGGUAGCAGUGUAGAUGGUGGCGAGGGUGCACGGGGUACACUGCCCCCUGACGCCGUCGUGUGGCCGCUCUGUCGCCUGGCCAUCGUGACUGUGGUCUCGAUGUGCGGAGCUGUCGGCCCCUCCAUCGUUGCCUGUCUUGCACGAGGCGACGAUCGUGCAACAGCGGUGGGGCGGUGGCGAUGCUGAUCACGCCUCCUCUUGGGCGGGUAAGCGUGGUGGUGAGGCCGUCGCGGGGCCUUUGACCGCGUGGGCAUGACGUGGGCCCCUCCUAGUCCUUUGACUGAGAGUAGGAUCAUGUCGUAGCUGAAGCCGGUGGACAUGAACUCAAGGCUCCCGAACCAGAUCACCGUGGACCGUGGGAUCAGUGAGACGUGAGUGGCCAUCCAAAAAGAGAUGAGAAAUCAAUGGCAACACGCAGGACCCCUACCUGGCGCACCAACUGUCGGUGUUUUGACCCUGGGGGGUGACACCAACGGGUGAAUUUGUGUGCGUGCUCCCCUUUUCGGAUGGUGAUACAAGAGUGGCAUAAAGAUUUAUCCUGGUUCGGGCAAAAGAAGGCCCAAUGUCCAGUGGGGGGGGAGACUUUGUAUUAUCUUGAACCUAAGUGCUUGUACAGGGGUGAAUACAAGUGGAUGUGACUAAGGGUUCUAAGUCCUAGCCAAUGGUGGUGGUGUGAGAAUCGUGUUCUAUAUAUCUCUUGGAUGUUUCUCCCAGCGUCCCCUUUUAUAGUUCCAAGGGGAGGCCUAGGUUACAGAGUUUAGGCGUUUGAGUAGGCCUUGAUAGGGGUAUGGCGCUGACCCACUUGAUGCCUUCGUACCGGCGUGUUCUCGAGCUGUCUUGUUAUGGGGUAUUUUUUUAUGAUGGCGCGUGCGUUCCCUGAGCCUAACUCCCUGCACAUCGUCUGGUAUUGGCUUGGGUGUGAGCACGCUUGUACGUUGUGGCAGUAGUCACAUCUGGGGUGGUUGAAGCGCUGACUUCCGUCGCUUGAUCCUUCCCUGGGAAGGAACAAGCCUGUUCAAGGGUCAGGAGGCUCAGGCGGCUUUGUUAUGUAGAGCGCUGAUUUUGAGCGUCUCGAGGGGUCGCGAUGGGAUAUUACGUCUGCCAUACUGUACGGGUCUGUACUUUUCUCCAAUCUCGGGGAUAAAGCUAGGAAAAUUUGGGAUUUGACAGGUGCUUGUUCCCCUAUUACACUUCCCGUGAUUGUCAGGUUAGGUGGGAGCAUGGCAGCCGCAUUAAAUGCUCUGGCCCCCGUACCCGUGACAUGUCACAGAACCGACCAAAUUAUAAGAGUUCAAGUGUAGAAACGAUCAACUAGUAAUCAAGUUUCCGAACUGGAGCCCAUAUAAUCCCGGUAGUCAACUGAAAUCACGAAGGACUUCAAACCAACUUGCAACAAACCAAGAUCAUAAUAGUUCAAUAUAACACAGCGAAUGUUACAUAGUCAUUCAUUGCCAUCGAAGCGGCACCACAUCGGAGUUACUUAGUUAUUACAACACAUGUUUGUAGUAGCGGAAGCAAAAUAGUUUACAACUCACAUUCCCAAGUUCAUUUCACAAGUUCUUGUUUCAGCCAGAGUCUCAUGCCAUCCAUCAAAAGCAACAGAUACAAAGUAGUUAGAGAACCAUGCCCAACGGUUUAGUCUUCAUCCGCAGCGGGAUGGAGACAGGUCUUGCAGAAGCCAUCAUAAAAGAUAUCAUCUGCAAUAGGUGGGAAUAAACCCUGAGUACGAGGAUGUACUCAGCUAGACUUACCCGUCUAGUAAAACAUAAAAGACACCAAGGAUCAUGUAAGUUUGAGCAUAAAGUGUAACUGGCUUGACUCAACAUUUGCCAAAAGCUUAAGUGAUUACUUUACUACUUGCAUUAGCAUCAUAUUAAUCAUCAUUAGCCUAUCACUAGAUUAGCACCUGGACUAAAACACUUCACUUGAUUAUUACAAGCAAUAAUAACCAUAUCAAGUUCAUCAUAUGUUCUUCCUUGCUAUCAUCAACAACAUUAUCAAGAACCAUUGUACUUAGUGAAUGCUACCUUUGCCGCUGCUCUGUCAAGUUCUCACUAUCCGGGAGAGACGGCGCUUCGAAUCGAUUCCUAUCCAGCUGGAGGGUUAUUCCUAGCACUCACCCAAGCUUCCCCCGUCGGAGAGCCAGUGGGUCACCUUUGGUACGACUCAGGAAUCGCGGCUCCGAUCAGCGCCGCACUCCCAGGGCUACCACUCUUCCAGGGAGGUCAGGACUUUUAACUCACCUGCCUUUGGUCUUACACCAAUGGUCCCCCGCACACCGCACUUCCUCCGGUAGUGCGCACUUUAUACUUCCCGGUAUUCCGGCCUGAGUCAUACUACAAGGCUUCACGGUCGGAACGAGUUAUCCGGCCAACUAAGUGUCAGGCAUGCGCUCAACAUGAUAAGAGGACGUACAACGAUCGGUCCUUAGCUGCCAAAGACGGAGUUACUACAACCUUGCAAAACUCCGCCUGGCUUAAGUCAUUUUAAUCAGGUUCCUUCCACGAUAGCACAUAUAGACAAUCGUGAUCCGACACAACCCUAUCUCGCGCAGGUGACAGGAUAUCAGCCGACUUCUACUGAUUAAAGCAUGACUAAGCUGCGACUUGAUCCUAACUCUAUGACCAGGUAAUGGUAAGAUAUCUGGACAAGGAAGGAGUAAAAUGCAGCAAGGGUUUCAUCACAACUUGUCGGUGUUUUCCCCCCGGGGGGUCACACCAACGAGUGAAACUUGUAUGCGUGCUCCCCUUUCCAGAUGGGAUACAAGAAAAGACACAAAGAUUUAUCCUGGUUCGGGCAAGAGAAGGCCCUACGUCCAGCGGGGGAGGAGAGUUUGUAUUAUCUUGCACCUAAAUGCUUGUACAGGGGUGAAUACAGGCGUGUAUGAACUGAGAUGUGUAAGGUUCUUCUACUACGUGAGUCUUGUGUUGUGUUGCAUGUGUUCUAUCCGCUCCCGGGCCUCCCCUUUUAUAUUUCCAAGAAGAGGCCUAGGGUACAUGUAUAGGCGUUAGAGUAGGGGUCGAUAGAGGUAAGGCGCGCUGACCUACUCGAGGCCUCCGUACCGGCGUGGUCUCGAGCCAUCUUGUCUUGGUACCUUGAUGAUGAUUACGCGUGCCCCUGUAUCCCGCUCUAUGUGUCGUCCUGGACUGGUUUAUCUGUUGCAUGCUUGUACGUCACGGCAGCAGCUGCGUCGGAGUGGUUGAGGUGCUGUCACUCGUCGCCCAACCCUUCCCCAGGAAGGAAACGUGCCUACUCGAGGGUCGGGUGCCGUGUAACGCCUCGCUAGCCAGAGCGCUGACCUUGGGCGUCUCGAGGGGGGUCUUGAUUAGACGUUCCGACCCACUCCCUGUUGGCAUUUCUUAACGUCAUCACUAAGAACAGGGUUUAAUCCGUCCUGAGCAACGAUGUCAGAAAUGUCGUGAUAACACUUACUAAUGCAAUCACCAAGAUUAGAGUAUAAAUCUAUCCUAAUCAACGGUGCCAGAAAUGCUUGUUAGCGUUUCUUAGCGUCGCUAGCCAGAAUAGGGUUCUGCUCUACUCAUGAUAAUGACAUUGGCAGUGUUAUAUUGGCAGAUCCGUAGCAUCACCACCUUGAAUAGGAAGCUAGAUCUACCUUCCCGAUAACGGCGCCUUAUUACCGUUAGGGUAGGGUUCCAGUUCUUAGUCAUGGUAGUGGCACUAGGAUUGCCAUGUUGGUAUUCCUUAACAUGUCACUAGCUCGGCGCAUGUCUAGCAAUAGUGUUAAGUAUAUACCGGGGUGAUAGUUCCUUAGGUUUGGAGUUUAAGUACCGCAAGCGGACGGGAACUAUCGUGUAGCAUUUCAACCCGGGGAUUUACCGAGUGUCGUAUUUAUAGGUUCGCUCUAAGGAAGGCUUAAUAUGUUAAGGAUUCUAAGAUAAGCAUAGAUCAAAGUAAUUAUGAUAGCAAUAAUGGAAUCAAGGGUCAUAGCAGGUGAUAAACAUUUAUAUGUAGAAUAGUGAUCCAUCACAAUCUAGGCAUGGCAUAUGGGCUAAGGAAUAAAAAGAGACUAAAAGAAUGAAUUGAAUCAAAGAAUAAACAAACAACCUAUUGUAGCAGGUGUGGUCCUAGAUACAGAUCAUGUCAUAGAACAAGUUAAUCAUGUAAUUAUACUACUUAGAUCUAGUCCUAUGUUUAGAUGGUUUGGGAGGUUACGCGAGUACUGGUCUGCCAGCAACCUCCGCAACUAUUUAGACUCCUACACCCUAGCCGAACGUGGGGGAAUGCCAAGGACGGAUAGGGCUGUCACCACCUGCUGCCAUCCAUUCAACCGUGGACUAGGACAAUGCAUUUACCCGGCCUCUACACCCAAGCACCAUGCUUACAUGCAAAGAAGCUACUCGGACUCCCCCGGGUCCCCGACCCUACGGAUCGACAGGUAAGAAGCCCGAGCCUACUCAAAAGAUCAUGAUAAACCCCCAUCUUCACAUAAAGCUAUUUCUAGGCAAUUAAUUAAGAUGAAGCAAUUAGACUAAAGUCCUAAGUGAGAAUAAUACAACAUACACUUAGCACUAAUUCAUAUAAUACACUACUAGCCCUAGGGUAGCAUUAUACUAAGAACUAUAUACUAAAAUGUAUGUCAUAUCAUUUCCACUAGAACUAUAUUCUAGUUCAUAUGCUAGCAUCAUAAACAUGGCCUAUGAUCUAUAUCAUAUACCAUAGCAUAAGAACUAUACUCUAGUUCAUAUGAAGAACUAUAUCGGACAUGAUAAGGCAUGGAGUUGGAGUAAAGAUAUUCUUUAUUCAUACCCAAGUUUCUCUCCAAGGAGCCAAGCCCUCCUUGAUAGCUCACCCAACUCUCUCUUUAAAAGCUAUAAGGAAAAACUAAGAAGAGGUAGUGCCCAAGUGCCUUGAAGGUGGAGUGUUGAUUGUGAAUGUGAUGAGAUGAAUGGAGCCUCCCUCUCCCCCUCCUUAAAUAGGUGGGGAAGGUCGGUUCCCCAGGGUGUAAACUGCAAUUUGCACGCGGGGACUGCGGGAGGAUAGGCUCAGCACCGCCUCUGCGAAAGGCGGUGCCGAGAUGGGCUGGGUCAGGGUCGGCCGACCCUAGGGGGCGGCCGCCCCCUGGUGGGCCCCGCAGGCCCCGGGCCGAAGCCCGUUGCCUUCCUCUCGGGCCCCUGGGUCCAGAUCCACCUGCAAAUUGAUGCACUUCUAUAUUGGGCUUUUGGGUACUUGUUUAUUUGCUCAUUUUUUUGACGUGUCGGAUUGCGCCUUUUUAUUUGCUUUCCACCUGUAUGCCUGUAUAUGAUCUGCAAAACACAACUUGCACUACAUGUGGAACUUGGUAAGCAUUUAAUAAGUAUAUGUGAGUAAAAUACAUGCUUUUCUUCCUUUGCAUGGACUAUGUUGGCGGGGUAAAUAUGUCAUUAAGAACCGCCAACAAACUCCCCCAAGCUUACUGUUGGGUAUUUUAAACGCAAACAGAAAAAUCCACAAGCGCACGGAUACCGAUGUAGCCUUCACCCGAGAGUAUUCCAGAGUAUCGAUUUUCCACAGAGAACGUGAGUGUACUAAUUAAGAUCCAAGAUCGCCCAAGGAUAACUAUAUGAAUAUUUUUGGUGGGAAGAGAGGAAGUUUCCUGAGAUUUCUCUAGUUGAUCUAAGAAUCAAGAAUUACUUCAAGAUUAUCUAUUUCGGGACAUCAGAACACUAGCCACAGAAAUAGAUGAGAAGGGGGCUAGGAAGCUCCGACUACGGUCCUACAAACACCGAUCCGAACGAGGUGGAAUACGUCGACCGUUAGGGCUGUCACUACCCUAAGGCUACCACAACAAUCCGUAGGAUUGGGUGCAAUUCCAGGUAAUUGCAAGACUAAACACCACGUCUAAUCUAUUAAUUACUACUCUAGCGUUAUAAAGACUAGAGCACUUGAUGCAAGCGGGAAUCCAAUAAAUAACUUGAAUGUAAAUAAAAGUAAUUAAAGAACUCAGGAGUUAUGAAUUGAAGAACCUGGAGAACGAUGAAGAACGAACCAGAUGCUGCAAAAGUAUAAUGUUGAGGAAGAUCCGACAGAUCCGGCUCCUCCUCUGCUCUCCUCCUCUCUCUCCCUAUUUUCUAGAUUACAACUAGAACUAACUAGAACUAGAACUAGAGGAACUAGAACUAGAACUAGAUGAACUAGAACUAGAUCUAGAUGAACUAGAGGUAGAACUAGAAGAACUAGAGGGAUCCUCUCUACUUGGAUGAAGAAUUGAAACCCUAACUUUGAUUCUGUAGAAGAGGUAUGAUCUCCAGGGGCCAGGGGGGUCUGGUUUUAUAGUCCCUUCAAGUGAAUCUGGGCCAUCGGAUCAAACUGACAUUGAUCGUGUGGUUUUCCUUAAAGUAUUAGGUCGGUGGAGCAUUGUCCCCGAAUUGGACUCUGUUUGGUCCAGGGGGGAGGGCGGGCACCCAGUGCGCGGCUCCGUUACGUCUCCCAUUCGGUCUCGUGGCUUCUGGACUCUUCUAGAUGGUAGAUAAUUGUGCGGCACGUUAAUAUCUCUAUGUAAACCCGACGUGUGGGCCUUUAUUCCGUAUUUCCUGAUGACCCCCUGCAGAAAUAGACAAACACCAAAACUUGUGGAAUUCUGUCAGAUAAAACCCUAAGUCUAGGUGUUUGUUGCAUUUGGAUCCUUUUCUAUGAUUAGUUGAUGGUUAAAUGUGAGCAUUAAGGACCGUCAACAAGCUCCCCCAAGCUUAACCUUUGCUCGUCCCUGAGCAAAGAUGGACUCAAGAGUUUCUGCAGUGGUUUCAUGCCUUAAAGAUACACAUACGUUCAAACAAGAUCUCAUCUCUGGGUUAGGGUAAACUGUUAAGAUUUAAACUUACUCAUUUUACCUUCCACCACGGGACUUGUAACCGUCACUUCUGUCUUGAGCAGUUAAAAGAUAGAACGGUCUAGUCAAGCGCCAUGUCUCUUGUUCUUCGAUUAACUAUAGCUCUGGAGUUUUUGCAGAUUUUCAAAUAAAACUCAGAGAUUCCUUGUAUGACUCUCUCUAGUCUCUCUUUUGUGGUAUUUCUGGAUCCUUACCAAGGCAGUAAUGGUGUAUGCCUUCUCUCAAAGUAUGUGGUAUUUUUGGUAUGAGGCAUAGUGGCAUUGCCUUCUCUCUCACCCUACUCUACUAAGGUUUUGAUAUCUGGAGCUCAUAGGUGGGAGACAGCUAAUACAUACUUACAAGACAUUUAUUGCAUAGUCAAACCAUGGAUCCAGAAGAAUAAGUCAAUAAGUCAAAUCAAGAUGUGCAUGUGUGGCGAAUGAAUGGUGUAUGGUGAUGAUGGUGAUAACAAUGGUGGAAGUCUAAUUCUACUUGUGCUCUUUUGAGGGGAUACAUACCUUUCUUGCUCUUUUGAAACUUUUAGAGGAGAAUGAGAUGCUCUAUAUUUUCUCUCUUUUUUUUCUUUUCUCUCAGGUGGGUAUCUUGUACCGCUAAUUCUACUGUCGGACACUUGUCCAUUUUUACCUCUCGUCUCACUUUUUCUUUUCUUUCGAGGUUCCGGGCACUUGCCCCUUUUUAUUUCCUCGUAUUCACUUUUUUCUCUCUCUCUUCUUUUUUUUAGAGCACUCAUCUCAUGAGAUAAUAUAGCAAGUGGUAGUAACAUGAUAACUUGAGCAUUUAUUUCACAGGGGAAAACAGAAAUGUUUUUGGCUAUUCUCUCCCGGAUUAGGAGUAGGAUAUUUUUGGGUGGUUCUGAAGAUGGAAAUGGGUGGAUAUAUGUGGAUGCGUACUUUCGGAGUAGAAGCAGCAUGUGUGAGUGAACGUGCAAGUGAAUCUUGACUUAACCACAUGACAAGCUCCUAAGGGUCUACACAGCUUGACCACACUCAAUGCUCAUAAGCAGUAAAAAGUAAAUGUGUGGCUCAAAGUCUAGCAAGCAUGUACAUAUGGCUGUGGUAGGAAUUUAAACUCUCAUCAUACAGGAACUCAUCAUGCAACAUUUUAAAGAUUUUCAAAGAUAAAAUUCUCCAGAAUUCUAGCAUCUCUAGGAACUGAUAAACAACAGCUCAACCUUCCCAUAUCAUAUCCGUUAACGACUUAGACUUCAUAUCAAGUACUCUUCCCACAAGUUCAGAUUUAGAGCAAAUCUUAAUUAAUAACAGUUACGACUAAACUUGAGAGAAAGCUUAAACUUGAAAACUAGGUACAUGGCAGAGCAACUAUUCAUCAUUUCCAUGUGAGAGCUUAUCAUGAGGGUUCAUAGCAAACUUUAUUUAUUUAUUUAUUUAGCAAACUAAGCAAAGAUAUAUAUAUAUAUAUAUAUAAGCACAAAAUUUUUAUUUGGGUUUUUAUGAUUAUGCAUCUUUUUAUUAUUCGAGUAAAGUAUAAACGUGAGUAGAAACACUUAGCUGGAUAAAUGGCAGUGCUCUCCCCCAAGCUGGAUUUUGACGUAAUUCCUUGUGAUGUAGCUAGAAGUGGCGGAGGUGUAUUUGAAUGUCGGCAGCACUCUGACAGUGAUUAAGAUGUCCUCCGUGUGCUAGUCUUCUUUGAUCCUUGAAUUCUAUGGAGCUCAAAUAGACAACAAAGCUUUGUGGAACUAGUUAAGUGUUAGCAUAAAAUCUCUAGCCUUUAUCAUGUUGAGCCUCCUUAGUAAAUGUUACUCUCUUUAGUAGGAUCAUAAAUCUAUUUUUGUAUUUUCAUUUUUCUAGGACAGGAAUAUAUUUAUUUUAUUUUUACGCCACCACAGUGAAUGUACUUAUGGGUUUUAUGCCAUGAGCAUACUCACAUGGGGCUUACUAUUUUAAACAUUUUUAUUUUAUUUUCAAGAUGAUAUGAACCUGAUUAGCUAAAAUAAUUGAAAGGAAAAAGAUAACUACCAAGUUUACCUCUUGGCAAGACGUUCGGUGUUUUUAUGUCCUCCGAACGGGACUCUCUGUUUUCUCAAUCGUCCUGGGAUUCGCUGGAUGGCGUAGUCGGUGGUUCCGGCGGCGCCUCCUCUUCGUGUAUAACAUUCUUCUCUCUACACACCUGACUCGGUGCUACGGUCUCCUUAGGACAGUUCUGUUCAAGUUGUAUGUCUUCAGACAUUACCUAUUCUCCUUCAUAGUCUACCCAUCCGUCCUUGAUGAUUUGUCUUCUCUGGUUGAGGUUGCGUCGUCUUCUUCUUGUCCUGACCUGCUUAGAGUCUUCAACUAUAUAGUUAGGGUCAGUAAAAUAGCGGCGUACCUUCUCAGAGGGGAAGUGCAUGUGGACUUCUCUGGUUCCAAUGUAGAUGAUUGCUUUAACGGUGCUGAGGAACGGUCUUCCAAGGAUGAUGGGUGGAUCAUACUUGUCUUCUCCCAUGUCAAUAACCUUAAAAUCAUCUGGAGCUAAAUGUAUGACGGUUUUAGUGGCAUGGUUCCGAACAGGAGUUGAUAGGUGACUGCGGCCAUUAUGUUGACGCCUGACCCGGUGUCGCAAAGCAUCUUCUGGAAGUUGUAUCCAUUAAUGGAGCACUGGAUGCUUGGCAUGCCUGGGUCGUCCUUUUUGGUUAGGAACGGUGACUUAAAUAGAUGAUCUUGUCCUCCUUGAACUGCAGUGACAAUCUUAGCUGACUCGGUCCACACUUGCUUGUUCCUGUUCCUCCUGUUGGUCCUCUUCCUUGGUUCAUGUCAGGAAUGCUCUGAGAUUUGUGUAGUCUUGUUCUUGAAGGAAAACGUCUCCUUCCUCCCCUUGAUGUAGAAACUGAUCUUGGCAGCACUAGCAUAGAUGAUAGCUCCCGAGGUGUUUAGGAAUGGCCUCCUUAGGAUGAUGGGUGCCCUCUCAACAGUACCAGUCUCUAUCAUCACGAAGUCUGCUGGGGCGCACAAGGUAACAACUCGGACGUAGAGGUUCUUCAAUAUUCCCUUUGGGAAACAUAGUGUCCGAGCUGCAAGCUGCAAACACAUGGUUGUCUCUAGUAAAGGAAGUGUAAAGAAUUUUUCAUAGAGUACCCUGGGCCUAAUGUUGACGCUGUAGCCAAAUUCGCAGAGUGCUUCUAGGAAGUCCACCAUGCCGAUGGAGAUCGGGAUGACGGGGUGUCCUGGAUUGUCUCUCUUGACCGGCAGAAGGUCAGUAAUUACUUCCACAACAGGGUUACUCCAGAAGUUAUGUCCUUAAGCAUCUCAGGGCAGUGAUUGCCUAAGUGUCCAGUCUCUCCAGUGUGUUUGUGCUCGUAGAUCUAGGUUCUUCACUUGGUGGAGUCUAGGAGUUGUAAAAGUCCUUCAUAUUUUGCUCGAAGUGUACCUGCUCAUAGAGACAAGGCAGAGAUCAAGUGCAUGGGCCCUGUUGGUGGAAAACACCAACAGAACCAAAAGUGUGUUUGUUCUCCUCUAACCUCAAGCAUAGUGAGCAAGACAAAGUUGAUGGAUAAUAAGAUCAUGAGUGUAGCAUUUAAAACAUUUGUCAGAUCAGAUCACUCAACCUAAAGGAAAGAUAAUCAAUCUAUAUUUAUCUUGUUUUUUAUAUAUCUUCCAUAGAUUGAGUGUGCAAUAUUUUAGUUCAUAUGAUUAGGAGUGUGGGAUCACAAAGGUGGAAGGAUUAAACAUAUUGAAUCGAUUGGGUUGGUUAAUCUAGAGUUGUAAAUCAUACAUGUUUGUCUCUUUUAUUCAUGUGAACGCCAGAAAUAAGGAGAAGCUUAUAGAAGUGAUAGUCAAGUACUUUAAGAUGUUACCUUACUUUAAGAGUGAUGGUACAGCAUCACCUUGUGGAAGCUUUCCUCUCUUAGUAGUUGUGUAUUGUGUUUGUGGCACCCUCCAUGGAUCAUCUCUUGUGAGCUAUGCCUUCCUUGUGUAAAUUGUUAAACUUCAUGUGUCUCUCUCUUUGUCUCCAAUGUGAGUUUAUCUCAGGACUUCCCAGGUCGAUAUUGAAAGUUUUCCUGCAGGGGUUCGUCCAACAAAAUAUCCAAUAUCUACUAUAGCAUACUAUCGGCUCAAAGAUCAACCUAGACACCAUGUCUAAUUUGAUUUAGGAGGGAAUUUUAACCUAAGCAUCAUGCUUAAUUUAAAAUCCUUUGGAAGUAAGAUCAACAUUCCUAACUAAGCACCAUGCUUAAUUAAGAGAUAAAUGAAACUACUCCAAACCUAGACAUAUACUAAAGCAAAUAAAGGUAGCAUGAAAGCAUUUAUAGAGAUCUACUCAAGUGGAGAUGAAGUAGUGUGAUUAGUAUUUAACAAAUUGAGCAUGUCUUAAAGGUAGGGACAACCAACAUAGCAACAUAGGAAGGAUGAUUUUAUGUAAAGUACUCCCCCAAGCUUGAAUUUUGCAAAAUUCAAGUUUGGAUGAGUUUAAUUCAAUGUUGUAUGAUGAUUGGUUGGACAUACAUUGUGCUUGUCAUUCAUCCGAUCUUCUUGCUCCAAUCCUGGAAAGGUUAGUGACAAGAAUACCCGAAGGAAUAUUUUUACAAUUAUCCUUAUAUGCUCAAUACACAAGGUAAUGUUGCAAAUAAUUAAAAGCUCAUGUUACAAUCUGAUCAGUGCUUGUUUUAGGACACUAAGCUUGUCCUUGGGAAACCAUCCAUUUAUGUCAGUGAAGUGGUUUCCCCUCCAACGCUGACCUAUAUCAAGAUCAACUCAACGAGAUCUGCAAAAUUUACUAUAGACAUAUGCAUCGACAACCGCCCUUUUAAAGUUUCUAUAAAUAGAAAGGAAGUGGGGGUUGGAGAUCUCGAAUGUGGUGAUGUUGGAGAGACCAAUGGAUUGUGAAGAUGUUGCAUAUGAGCAUGGAGUAAAUGAAGUGGCUAUGAAAUAAAUUCCAUGCUCAUUAAUGCUUAGAGUGAAAUCCAUGUGGUGUGGUGAAAAUGGUAAGGUGAGUGUGGUAAAAAAAAAGGAAAAGAUAAAGGAUACACGGACGACUUGGUUCGAAACUAGCACAGCUACCGUUCCCCGGCAGCGGCGCCAGAAAGCUUGUUGAGUAUUUUAAACGCAAACAGAAAAAUCCGCAAGCGCACGGAUACCGAUGUAGCCUUCACCCGGGAGUAUUCCAGAGUAUCGAUUUUCCACAGAGAAUGUGAGUGUACUAAUUAAGAUCCAAGAUCGCCCAAGGAUAACUAUAUGAAUAUUUUUGGUGGGAAGAGAGGAAGUUUCCUGAGAGUUCUCUAGUUGAUCUAAGAAUCAAGAAUUACUUCAAGAUUAUCUAUUUCAGGACAUCAGAACACUAACCACAGAAAGAGAUGAGAAGGGGGCUAGGAAGCUCCGACUACGGUCCUACAAACACCGAUCCGAACGAGGUGGAAUACGUCGACCAUUAGGGCUGUCACUACCCUAAGGCUACCACAACAAUCCGUAGGAUUGGGUGCAAUUCCAGGUAAUUGCAAGACUAAACACCACGUCUAAUCUAUUAAUUACUACUCUAGCGUUAUAAAGACUAGAGCACUUGAUGCAAGCGGGAAUCCAAUAAAUAACUUGAAUGUAAAUAAAAGUAAUUAAAGAACUCAGGAGUUAUGAAUUGAAGAACCUGGAGAAUGAUGAAGAACAAACCAGAUGCUGCAAAAGUAUUAUGUUGAGGAAGAUCCGACAGAUCCGGCUCCUCCUCCGCUCUCCUCUUCUCUCUCCCUAUUUUCUAGAUUACAACUAGAACUAACUAGAACUAGAACUAGAGGAACUAGAACUAGAACUAGAUGAACUAGAACUAGAUCUAGAUGAACUAGAGGUAGAACUAGAAGAACUAGAGGGAUCCUCUCUACUUAGAUGAAGAAUUGAAACCCUAACUUUGAUUCUGUAGAAGAGGUAUGAUCUCCAGGUGCCAGGGGGGUCUGGUUUUAUAGUCCCUCCAAGUGAAUCUGGGCCGUCGGAUCAAACCGAUAUUGAUCGUGUGGUUUUCCUUGAAGUAUUAGGUCGGUGGAGCAUUGUCCCUGAAUUGGACUCUGUUUGGUCCAGGGGGGAGGGCGGGCGCCCAGUGCCCGGCUCCGUUACGUCUCCCGUUCGCUCCCGUGGCUUCUGGACUCUUCUAGAUGGUAGAUAAUUGUGCAGCACGUUAAUAUCUCUAUGUAAACCCGACGUGUGGGCCUUUCUUCCCUAUUUCCUGAUAACCCCCUGCAGAAAUAGACAAACACCAAAAUUUGUGGAAUUCUGUCAGAUAAAACCCUAAGUCUAGGUGUUGGUUGCAUUUGGAUCCUUUUCUAUGAUUAGUUGAUGGUGAAAUGUGAGCAUUAAGGACCGUCAACACUUACCCCUUGCUCGUCCUCGAGCAAGAAGCUAAGAUCUUGGUUGUUGAUUAGGAGUUGCUACAAUAUUUUCACUUCUAUCCAGUACAUACCUUCAAACAAGAAUUCUCCUUUGAAUUUUGAACAGAUAUGUCAUGGGGCUUAUUGCUCAUACCUUGGGACCUUAAGCAUUUGCAGGAUGGAUUUGAUCAGAUCGAGUGCUAUAUCCCAAGUUCUUUACUUCACCUUUGUUCUGGAGUUUUUGAUUUUCAAAACUUAGCACAUUUAUUUGUCAAAUUAAACAAUGGAUCCAAAGAGAAAGUUAAUCAUACCAUUGAAUUUUUGAAAACCUUUUCUUUUCCAUCAUUCUCUUUUUGUCUAUUAGAGACACAUGGCUAUGUGGCUAAUUCUACUGUUAGGCACUUGCCCAUUUUUUUAUUUUUAUUUUUUUUGAGGUUCCGGACACAUGUCCCUUUUUAUUUCCACGUGAUCUUUCUUUUUGAGGUUUCGGACACAUGCCUUUUUAUUUCCUCGGAUGCUUUUUUUUCUUUUUCAUAGCCAUAUGCCUUCUAACAAACUUUUGAGAUGAUAACAUAAUGAAAUAUUUUUGUUUUCCAUGGUAUGACAACCUCUCAAAGGGUCAAAAAAGCUUAAUCUAACUCAAUGUGAUUAUUUUACUUUUGUAAAAACUCCAGAACUCCAGCGUUGUUUAGAACAAGAUACUAGCAGCUCAGAUCAUCACAAAUAUAUCCAUUAAUUACUAUAGACUUUAGAUAGAGCAUUUUGCAACCCACGCAUUUAAUCAUUUUAUUAAUUUGGAGAAUUCAUGGUUGAAACUAGAUACUGGAAAGAAAUUAUGAUAGAGCAACUAUUCAUCAUUUCAACAAGGAAGAAGCAUAUAUCUUACAUCACAUAUAAGAGUGGAAUUAUAUUUUUGUCUUUUUAGCAUUUUUUUCAUUUUUUAUAUGCAAUAAUUAAAACAUGAAUUUAACUAAUGAAAAUUUCAUAAAGUAAACAUGCUAAUUUAAAAUUAAGGAUGCGUGAAAAUAAAUAUGCAAUGCAGAUAACCUCGGGAUUGGGGGUCCUCCCCCAAGCUAGCUUCUGGCCAGUGUUUAUUAUUAUUAUUGUUUUAUUUUUUUUUAGGGCUUACCUUUUUAGGUCUGGUGAGCAAGACCUUUUUCUCCCAUGCUUGGUGAUGGACCUCCUUGUCUGGGAGAAGUGGACGGAGAUGCUUGUUCCUUCUUUGGCCUCCACUUCAUCUGAUUGGUUUUUGGUGGUGUGGUGGCCUUUUGGAUCUCCUUCCAUACCUUCUUUGGUGGAAGGGGACUCUCUUUUUCUUCCGGAGCCUUGUUUUGCUUACAAGCUUUAUUUUGCUCCUCAUGUUUAUUUUUGGGAGCUGCCUUUUUCUUUUGCUCCGGCUUUUGUGUAGGUCUUUUUACUGAUUUAGAGAUGCUAUAAAUAAUUUCAGGCUGUAUCUGCACCUCUUUUAUCUGUUUAUUUGGUCCAUAUCUAACCAGGAUCAUUGAGCAUUGCUCUUGAUGCCUUGGUUUGAACUCAAACUUCUCCUCCUUCCCAUUGAUGUGUAAACUGAUCUUUCCUUCCUUCACAUCAAUCUGUGCUCCUGCGGUGCUCAAGAAGGGUCUCCCAAGGAUCAAUGGUGAUUCCUUGGUUAACUCCAUAUCAAGCACCACAAAGUCCACGGGAACAAACAGUCCUCUGAUUUGUACUGGUACAUCUUCGGCUAUUCCAGUUGGAUGCCUGACCGAUGAGUUAGCCAGUUGGAGAGUCAUCGUGGUUGGCUUGAGUUGAGUGAAGUUGAGCUGGUCAAAGACAACUUUAGGCAUCACACUUACGCUUCUACCUAAAUCACAUAGCGCAUGAUCAAAGCGCUGAGUUCCAAUUGAGCAUGUGAUUGUAGGGCACCACGGGUCCUUCCUCUUCUCUGGGAGACGGUUGAGUAUAGCAGCGCUACACUCUUCCGUCAGCUUAAUUGUUUCAGUGGAUGGCAGUGGGUGCUUGUUGUUGAUGAUAUCCUUGAUGUACUUGGCAUAAGAAGGUACAUGUAGAACGUCCAUCAAAGGAACGCUUACAUGUAUCUUCUCCAUCAUCUCAACAAGCGAGUGAAUUGUUCAUCCACAGCUUGUUUUCUAUUUCUUGUGGGAAAUGGCAGGUACGUGGUGUCCGUGUACCCCAAUGGGUCUUUUGGUGCCAUUUCCUCUUCUUCUGGUCUGACAUCUUUUUGGGUUUUCUUUGUUAUCUCCUGUUGCUCUUUGUCCUUCCCUGCAUCAGCAUUAGGGUUCGGUGGAUCACGAGUGGUCUUACCACCCCUCGUGGUCACCGCUUUUACAUUUUCAGAAUUAUUUUUAUAUUCAGUAGGAAGGGCAGCAGCUAUCUGAGCUAUUUGUGUUUCAAGCAUCUUAUUAAAGCUCAGUUGAUUAUGAACAGAAGAAGUCAAGUUUUCUAAUUUCGUAUUUACGUUUUCUAAAACCUUAUCAUUGGACAGCAACUUUUUAGUUAAGUUUUCAUUUAUUUUAGCUUGUCCAAGAACUAGGUCUUUUAAUGAAGGUUGAUUCGAAUUAAAACUCGAAUUACCUUGGAAUGAAUAGCGUGACUGAUUAUUCCAACCAUUACCUUGGUUGGCGCCUCCUUGUUGGCGAAACUCGUUGUUGAUGUAGGCAGCGUCUUCACGGGUUUCGGGGCAAUCAUUCCCCGAAUGGCCAACUUCUCCACAGACCUCGCACGUCAUGUGCGAGUCUAUGGCCUUCACCGAGUUCGAGGGGUUCUCUUGGUUCCUCUCGGUGAGUUGCUUCAUCAAUAAAUCUAUUUUUGCGGCAAGCAUAUCCAUCUCCUUCACGGUAUGCAUGCCUUUUUGUGUUUUGGCAGCUGGUGGUUGAGUCCUGUCCUCCCCAAAGCUCUGGUGUUCUACCAUUUUCUCGAUCAGGGCCUUGGCCCUGGCGGUGGUAAGUGAUAGGAACGCGCCUCCAACGGUGGCGUCAAGGUGUCCCUUCGACAUGGGCGUGAGCCCAUUGUAGAAGUUCUGGAGCACCAUCUAGUUCUCCAUGCCGUGAUGGGGGCAGCUUAGGAUGUACUCUUGUAGCCGCUCCCAUGCUUCAGGGAUUGUUUCGCUGGCAUUUUGUUGAAAACUGGCAAUCCUUCCCCUCAAAGCAUUGGUUUUGCUUAUGGGGAAGAACUUGGCGAGGAAUGCCGCGGGUCAUUUUUCCCAUGUGGUGACAGCUUCUUUACCUUGAUAGAACCACCUCUUCGCCUUCCCCACGAGGGAGAAAGGAAAGAGGCGGAGCCGAAUGACAUCAGGAGUGAUGUCCUUGAUGACAAUCGUGUCACAUAGCUCCAGGAAGUGUUGAAGGUAUGCAUUCGCAUCCUCGCUUGGCAAGCCACAGAAUGGGCUCGCCUGCACCAUGGUGAUCAGGCCGGUGCGUAGCUCGAAGUUCUUGCCGACCGUGUCAACAGCAGGGCCAGUGGCCACGUUGGUGACAGCGGGCACGGAGAACUUGCGGAGUGUCUUCUCGGCGGCCAUGAGUUCGCUCGGGGUUGGUGCGGUACCGGCUGGUUCACUUGUCGGUGGAGUAGCAAAAGACGAAACGGUUCGAGACCGUCUAGUCCUUAGGAGUGCCUCGGGAUCGGAGAUGUAGUUUUCCGGCAAAGAGAAACCAGGCAUACACUAUUCCUCCUGUUUCAUCCACAACAUGGUGAAAACAGGCAGAGUUAUCCUGCAUAACAAUUGACUCAUUACGCACAUCAGAUUACUUGAUUAUAUUUAUCUAGAAUCAUGUUCAUAUUAGCCUUCCCCGGCAACGGCGCCAGAAAUGAUUGUUGGCAUUUCUUAACGUCAUCACUAAGAACAGGGUUUAAUCCGUCCUCAGCAACGAUGUCAGAAAUGUCGUGAUAACACUUACUAAUGCAAUCACCAAGAUUAGAGUAUAAAUCUAUCCUAAGCAACGGUGCCAGAAAUGCUUGUUAGCGUUUCUCAGCGUCGCUACCCAGAAUAGGGUUCUGCUCUACUCAUGAUAAUGACAUUGGCAGUGUUAUAUUGGCAGAUCCGUAGCAUCACCACCUUGAAUAGGAAGCUAGAUCUACCUUCCCGAUAACGGCGCCUUAUUACCGUUAGGGUAGGGUUCCAGUUCUUAAUCAUGGUAGUGGCACUAAGAUUGCCAUGUUGGUAUUCCUUAACAAGUCACUAGCUCGGCGCAUGUCUACCAACAAUGUUAAGUAUAUACCGGGGUGAUAGUUCCUUAGGUUUGGAGUUUAAGUACUGCAAGCGGACGGGAAUUAUUGUGUAGCAUUUCAACCCGGGGAUUUACCGAGUGUCGUAUUUAUAGGUUCGCUCUAAGGAAGGCUUAAUAUGUUAAGGAUUCUAAGAUAAGCAUAGAUCAAAGUAAUUAUGAUAGCAAUAAUGGAAUCAAGGGUCAUAGCAGGUGAUAAACAUUUAUAUGUAGAAUAGUGAUCCAUCACAAUCUAGGCAUGGCAUAUGGGCUAAGGAAUAAAAAGAGACUAAAAGAAUGAAUUGAAUCAAAGAAUAAACAAACAACCUAUUGGAGCAGGUGUGGUUCUAGAUACAGAUCAUGUCAUAGAACUAGUUAAUCAUGUAAUUAUACUACUUAGAUCUAGUCCUGUGUUUAGAUGGUUUGGGAGGUUACGCGAGUACUGGUCUGCCAGCAACCUCCGCAACUAUUUAGACUCCUACACCCUAGCCGAAUGUGGGGGAAUGCCAAGGACGGACAGGGCUGUCACCACCUGCAGCCAUCUCCUCAACCAUGGACUAGGACAAUGCAUUUACCCGGCCUCUACACCCAAGCACCAUGCUUACAUGCAAAGAACCUACUCGGACUCCCCCGGGUCCCCGACCCUACGGAUCGACAGGUAAGAAGCCCGAGCCUUCUCAAAAGAGCAUGAUAAACCCCCAUCUUCACACAAAGCUAUUUCUAGGCAAUUAAUUAACAUGAAGCAAUUAGACUAAAGUCCUAAGUGAGAAUAAUACAACAUACACUUAGCACUAGUUCAUAUAAUACACUACUAGCCCUAGGGUAGCAUUAUACUAUAAGAACUAUAUACUAAAAUGUAUGUCAUAUCAUUUCCACUAGAACUAUAUUCUAGUUCAUAUGCUAGCAUCAUACAACAUGGCCUAUGAUCUAUAUCAUAUACCAUAGCAUACGAACUAUACUCUAGUUCAUAUGAAGAACAAUAUCGGACAUGAUAAGGCACGGACUUGGAGUAAAGAUAUUCUUUAUUCAUACCCAAGUUUCUCUCCAAGGAGCCAAGCCCUCCUUGAUAGCUCACCCAACUCUCUCUUUAAAAGCUAAAAGGAAAAACUAAGAAGUGGUAGUGCCCAAGUGCCUUGAAGGUGGAGUGUUGAUUGUGAAUGUGAUGAGAUGAAUGGAGCCUCCCUCUCCCCCUCCUUAAAUAGGUGGGGAAGGUCGGUCCCCGAGGGUGUAAACAACAAUUUGCACGCGGGGACUGCGGGAGGAUAGGCUCAGCACCGCCUCUGCGAAAGGCAGUGCCGAGAUGGGCUGGGUCAGGGUCGGCCGACCCUAGGGGGCGGCCGCCCCCUGGUGGGCCCCACUGGCCCCGGCCCGAAGCCCGUUGCCUUCCUAUCGGGCCCCUGAGUCCAGAUCCACCUGCAAAUUGAUGCACUUCUAUAUUGGGCUUUUGGGUACUUGUUUAUUUGCGCAUUUUUUUGACGUGUCGGAUUGCGCCUUUUUAUUUGCUUUCCACCUGUAUGCCUGUAUAUGAUCUGGAAAACACAACUUGCACUACAUGUGGAACUUGGUAAGCAUUUAAUAAGUAUAUGUGAGUAAAAUACAUGCUUUUCUUCCUUUGCAUGGACUAUGUUGACGGGGUAAAUAUGUCAUUAAGAACCGCCAACACUCCCUGCGUCCUGCCACGUUCUAGCUUGUUUGGUGGGGAAGGCUGCAAAAAGAAUGACAGGACGGGUGCCUGUUCCCUAUCACGCUUCCCGUGACUGGCGGGUUACGUGAGAACGCGGCAGGCGCAUUAAAUGCCCUGGUUCCCAUGCCCGCGUCAGGUGGCGUGUGGCGUCCUUGCGCUCGAGGUCUCCUAAUUCGUACGAGCCUGUUUCCGUAUUCCACGGUAGCCGGCGCUCGAGCCUUGAUCGAUUCGCAGGACGCUCUUUCCGUGUUCGAGACUAUGGUCGUUGAGGACCGUGCACACAACUGGGUGUCGAGUCGGAUGCCUUGACUUGUGUAUGGAUUACUCUUGAUAUGCUCAUCAGUUAGGGUACCCCUUACUGAUAUCCUCGACAGUAGCCCUCGAGUCUCCAUUCGAGCGCUGGCGCUCGAGUGGAGGCUAUAUUUUGCGGUCGAGUUUCUGUGGGGGCGCGCGAGCGACCCCGCGGGGGUAGCCCCCGAGCCCUUGGAGGAGUGUUUGACUCCUUCGAGGGUUAUAUUGCCUAAUUUGCGAAAACGCUCUCGAUAUCCAUCGUGGAAGGCUCUGAUCGAUUCGUUUUACGCAGGGGUCUCGACGUACUCCUGGUGGAGCGAGCGUCAUCUACCCUAGAUUGAGCUCCUAGCGGGUAAUCCAAGUGAGAACCUGUGCCCCUUUCGAGGGGGUCAGCUGUAGCCCGGAGGCGUUCUCAUAAAGCGGGGUCGAUAUGGUCGGGGAUGCUGGACUCGUUCCAUAGAGUCCAGUGGCUCGAUGCCUCCCUUCAGGGGGAUUCCUCUCGACCGUCUCGACCUUGCCUUGAACAUCCCCAGCGAAUUCUCGAGGCGGGCCUCGACUUUCGACCAAUCGCUGGGCAUCCCUGACUCCAGUACUCGAGAUCGGUUGUCGAACCCAUUCGGUGGGCCAGCCUGCGACCUCUCGAGGUUUUAGUUGUAACAAAUGUGUACCUUAGCUUACGAGGGAAGGAAAAGGCCGUGGCGGUUCAUCUUUUUGCCCAUUGGGCGCGUCUUUUCAGGAGGGAGCCGUUGCAGCACUGUGCCAGCGUGGAAUUCGUAGCGUCCCGUCUGUGAGAGAGAUAAGGACCGUUAGGCGGCGCAUUUAUGGGAGGAGUUACCGUAUCCAUGGAAUCUGUCCGUUGGUGGGUUGCCGUCUAUAAAUGCCCCGUGGCCUUGUUGUCGUCGCUCCUUCCGCCUUCUGCCUCCAUUCUUGCCUCAGCUUCCUUGCCAUCUCACACGCGCGCUCCCUCGAGCAGUAGUAAAGUUGCCUUUCUCCCACCUGAAAAUGCCUGUGAGACUCAUCGCCGCCAAUGACUGGCGCCCGUCGUCGAUGACGGAGCGUCGGCUGCUCGAGCUCGAGAGGGAGGGACUCCUGCGCCCCUGCACUCUGUCGUCGCGGCCGGAGUGGAUCGUGCUGACGGCGGACCACCGGGAGCCAAGGCCGCCCAAGGGCUACGUGGUCUCCUUCGCCAAGUUCCACCGCCACGGCCUAGGCUCUCCUCCGAGCCGCUUCAUGCGGGCGCUCUGCCAGCACUACGGGGUGGAGCUCCAGCACUUCUCGUCGAACAUCGUCACCGCUGCGGCGGUUUUUGCCGCGGUGUGUGAGGGCUUCCUGGGGAUGAUGCCUCAUUGGGAGCUGUGGCUCCAUUUGUACUGGGACAAGCUCUUCAAUGCCCCUACCAGAACCAUAGGGGUGAGGAAGCCGGUACGGGCCGGUUACCUCAACCUGGUGCUCAAGACUGGCAAGUCGGAGAGGCCGAGCGAGUACAUCCCGGUGGGGUUAACAUCGAACCACGCCGGAUGGGACUCCCAGUGGUUUUAUCUACGGAACGACGACGACCUCUUCCCUGUCUACACUGGGCGCUUGAUCUCGGAGCGCCCGAGCCAUUGGAGCUACGACGUCGUCCAACCUCACCAGGCGCGGCUCGACCCCCUCCUCAACGCAUUGAAGAAGCUACGCGAGGAAGGCCUGACAGCUGCUCUCGUUCUCUCCGCCGUCCAACAUCGGAGGGUUCUCCCGUUGAUGUCCCGGCCGUUGAGGAUGGACAAGAUGGGUCCCGGUGUUCCGUCUCGGGAUCUCGAGGCUUGCUGGAUGUCCAACGAGGCUCCGGCAGACGAUGAGGUUGCGGCCCGAGUUAGGGCGGCCGUUGUUGGCGACUUCCAGCCGGAGCACGUCAACGGCUUCCCCAUGAGGCCCGAUCAGGGGUCGAUCGACCUGGUAAGUCCUUUUCCUAUGUACGAUCUUGAAUCUCGAUCUUCUUCGACCAUUUUUAAGAACCAUCUCUGCCCGUGCAGGGACCGAUCGACGCUCGAUCCUCGAGGCCUCCAGUAAAGGAGGACGAGGUCGAUCGUGACAAGCGGCGAGAGUCCACGGAAAAGCAGAAGUCCGCAGUGGACUUGAAAAAGAAGAUGGAAAAGAAGAAGAAUCUCGAGCGUCAAGCGCUGGAGACGCGUCGAGCGAAGUCUAGGCAGAGGGGGGAGCCAGAGGAAGAAUCCCCCAACGAGGACGAUGGCGGCGAAGGUGACGACGACAGCAAUGAUUCCGAGGGAAUGGCGUCUCGUCUCGACCGGAUCCUCGAGGGCCCUCCCCCGACCGGUGUCGACGUCCCGCGGACGGGAGUCCCAAAGGAGGCGCCAAGCGGGUCUCGUGAAAGUCAGUAGAGGGAGCUGUCUCCACGUUGUUCCUGCGCCGACACUCCUCCAGAGCCUGCGCCAGGUCGGACCGUCCCCCGCCCCCAACCUCCUCCCACGUCUAAGGCAGGCCACCGGGUUAAGUCCCUGACGACGGAGCCGCUGACUCGUGGUCGCGCCGCGGCCUCGAGCAAGGGGGGAACAUAUCGCAGGAGCACAAGUCCAGGCGCCGGCCAGGCGGGAGAUGCCGAGCCGAGACCGGUGCCCGCUCGCGAGGGGCCCGGAGCCUCGACACGGGGUGGCUCGAAGCCUGCUGGUCGAGGGAUCGGUAGACGGGUCGCCCUUCCUGUGGGGUAAGGUCUUAAUGUCGUGGUUCUGGUUUCAGAUGCUUUUGCAUUUUCUUGGGCUGCGAUUUUUACUUACGUUCAUUCUUCUUCCCUCAGGUUGAAGCGGACGCUCAAAUAGGCCCAGCCCUCAAUGGCCAAGAGGCUUAAGGUGGGAGCGGCCUCCAAAGACUCAGGUUAGAGGUUUAUUCCCGAUAUCGUGUUACCCUCAUAUCGAUCAUCAUGGCUGACUUGCUUUUUGUGCUUACAGGCUCCUCCAACCCUAGGCCACCAACUGGCGUCGAGAGCGCCCCGCCCAGCCCAUUGGUGGGGGAGUCCACCCCGCCGUCGCCGAAGCGGGUCGAGGCGCCUCACCCCCAAGAGCAGGAGGGAGCCCCCGAGCCUCCCCGAUCUAGGGUCGAGGGGGAUCCUAUCACUAUAAGAGACGGGUCUGGCGGCGACGGGCCUUCAAAGGAAGCUCAAUCCAUGGACGAGGAGGUCGAGGCUUCCCCUGUGGCGAAGCGGACGCCGUGGCCCAUCGGGCUCCACUCCAUCGAGGAGCAGAGGAAGAGGGAGGAGGAGGAGCGUGAGCGGGAGACGCGACAACAGCAGCAUGAGGGGCAGCAGCAGCCGCAGCAGCAAGAGGGAGAAGGAGAGGAGGGGCGCCGGCCGGAAGGAGCCCGGCUCGAGGAACUGUUGGAGCAGGACCGGCAGGAGGAGCUGCGGGAGCUCCAGGAGCAGCAGCAGCAGCAGAGGAGCUAGCAAUUAGAGGGACUGCUCGAGCCGCCGCCCCACAAUCCGCCCCAGCUAGUGCCGCCGACACCGCAAGAGCCUGAGACCGGGGAGAAAGGUCUACCGGUCUACGGUCCUCCGACCCUAGCGUGGCUCCGCCCAGGAGCGCCCUCUUCUUUCCCGGUGGAGCCAAGGCGGGCGGAUGGAGUGGUGGCGCUUGCUUGCAUGAUGCGCACCCCAGUGGACCCUCAGUCCGAGAUCAAGGGCACGGUCUACGGCAUUGAGGGGAUCGCUCCCAGAUUUCUCCAAGAACGACGGCUGUGGGAAGACCACAAGCCCUCUGAGGAGGAUGAAGCCGGGACGUCAGGGGGUGGCGCUUCCGACGAGACCGGGACCUAGAAGACAGUGGAUGAUGACGGGCGAUUCCCCUCCCUAAUCGACCUAUUUUUAUGUCAUGGGGGAUCGCUCGAGGCCGUCCAGGAGCUCAUCCGGGGCGUUAAGGUGCGCACGAAAGAGGAAAUGGAGAACUGGUGCCCCGACCGGAUUCGCAUCCGGGCCUCCACCGACCCGUCCGAGCCUAACAUCUUUUUGGACGAUCGGAAGAAGGCCAAAAAGUGGGAACACCUCGAGGAGCCUUGCCUCUAGAUGAAGCAUGUGGUGGGGCUCCUGUCCGACGUCGUCAACAACGGGCUCGGACCGGCUUAUUUUGUGAGUAUCUUUGGGCCUUAGCUAUCAUAGGACGUUUUGGAUUUGUGUCCUUACUGUUCCACUGCUGGCUCGCAGGAUCUGAAAGAGACCUCCCGCAUCAAGUCAAGCUUUAUCCAUGCGACGUGGGGCAGUUGGGAGCAACUCCCUCUCCUCAAGGACCAACUCCUAGAGUCGCCGGAGAAACUCCUCAAGGCUUAAAAGGAACUUUUGGCGCUCGAGGAGGAGAAGGAGAGGGAGGCCGCUCUGGCUGAGGCUCUGGAGGCCUUGAGGAAGGCGGUGGAGGAAGCCGCGUUGCUGAGGGAGCGGACCACAACGGUCGAGGAGGCUGCAUCCAAGGCCCAGGAAGAGGCCAAAUUUUACAAGGACGCAGCUGCCGAUCUUGACAAGGAGAAGGCCCUCCUCACGGCUGACGUUGCCUCUGCCCGAGCGGUCUACCAAGAGAUGAAGGUGGAGUGUGUGAAGGGCGAGAUCGCUCGUAGCGCCGCAGAGGAGGCCAAGAAGAAGGCCCUCUAAGAUCUCGAGGCGUAGCGGACUCGAUCUCGCAGCCUCUCUGAUGACGUCGACCAUCUAAAGAGAGCGUUGUUGGAGAAAGAUGGAGCCAUCGCGCAGGCGGGCAAGGUGAUCGAAGACCUGCGGGUCGCCAACACCGACCUGGUGCACACCUACAAAAGGAUCGAGAGGGCCAACACCAACCUUGUUGGUGAGAACACCGCUCUAGAGGAGAAAAUUCACGGUACGUUUUUACUAUCAUGUUUUCCUUCAAAGGCAUGAUUUGUGUUGCCUAAUUUGUCUGUGUUGGCCUUUAUAGGGUUCAAGGAUGAACUGCUCGCGGCUCAAGUUGAGGCCCGCUCUACCAAGGCUCAGCUCGAGGGGGAGGUUGCUUUGAACGGUCGGCUACAGACCACGAUAAGCGAUCUCUCGGCCUCCUGGGAGCUCGAGCCUGUGGACGAGUCGAGGGAGGCGGCUCGAGGCGACACACUGGUCGAUCAGUUGUGCUACCUUGGUGCAAUGCUGAGGGAUCGAGUGCGGGACGCUCUUCAUAUCAGAGUGAAGCGGGCAAUGGCGGUCGUCUGCUCAGGCUUUUCUUAUGAUAUGGAGGUGGUGUCCCACGGCUUCGUCACCGACAUCUCCAAGACUGACGUGGAGAACGAGGAGAGGCUCCACGCCUUGAUCGACGAUGCGGAGGUUCAUGGGGAAAGGUUGGCCAAGUUGUUCGAGCUAGAAGUACUUCCUCACGAGAUUAGCUCGGGCGUAGACGAUGGUGGUGAGGGCCGAGAUGUGGACUGAGGCCUGCGAGCCUACUCUGGGUGCUGAGGCCCCUUGUAUAUUAUUUUGUGUUAAGUAAUACUGUGUCUUUUAAGCGAUUUAUAGAUCUGUGGAUAUUUGCAUGUCUUUUCGCUUGAGGUUCCUUUGUUUCCUUUUGUGCCUAUGUUUGUAUUCCCCGUUUGGUCUUUUGUUUAGGGCGAUCUCGAUUGCCUCGAGGGUGAGGAAGCGAGUAGAGUUACCAUAGCCCGGGGGCGUAGGAGUUCUCAGGCUCGUUGUCUCUCGGCCCUUGAGGGGCUCGAGGUGCCUCUACUGCUUGACCGUGCGAGGCUUACUAAUAGGAAAGAAAGAAUCGCUUGGUUUUUUUUGACACUUGGGGGGCACCCCCUGCUAGCCCCCGAGGGGGUAUCGACUAUGAUGGGUCAUAGUUGGUACUCCCUUCUAACGUCGAGAUUUCGACCAAUGAAAAAAGUAAAUUACUCAAGGGAAAGAUCUUAUCAAUUCAUGCAUUCAUUCAUAAGGUCUUGGUACAGGAUGUACAUGGGAACAUAAAUCUUUGAAAUUCUAGGGGUAGAAUCGACGUAGCUGUUCGAUGUUCCACGCGUUGGUGAAGACCGCCCCCUUUUCGUCCGCGAGCUUGUACGUUCCUGGCUUCAGGACCUCGGCCACCACGUAUGGGCCCUCCCAGGGCGGGGUCAGCUUGUGGCAUCCUUGGUUGCUUUGCUGCCGCCGUAGAAAAAGAUCACCCAUGUUCAGAUCCCUUCUCCGUACGUGCUUGUCGUGGUAGAGUCGAAGCUUCUGCUGGUAUCUAGUGGAGUUGAGGAGAGCCAUGUCUCGAGCUUCCUCGAGCUGGUCGACCGCGUUCUCUCGAGUCUCCUUAUUUGACUGCUCGUUGUAGGCUUUGAGUCGAGGGGACCCAUACUCGAGGUCUGUUGGGAGCACAGCCUCAGAGCCGUAGACCAUGAAGAACGGGGUGUAUUUAGUGGCCCUGCUUGGCGUCGUCCUUAAGCUCAAUAGGACAGAAGAGAGCUCUUCGACUCAUUUCUUGCCGAAUUUCUUCAACCGGUUGUAGAUUCUUGGUUUAAGCCCUGUAAAAUCAUGCCGUUGGCACGUUCGACCUGGCCGUUAGUUCGAGGAUGGGCCAGUGCGGACCAGUUCACAUGGAUGUGAUGCCGGUCACAGAAGUCUAAGAACUUUUUGCCGGUGAACUGAGUGCCGUUGUCGGUGAUGAUAACGUUGGGGAUCCCAAACCGGUGGAUGAUGUCGGUGAAGAAAAGGACGGCCUGCUCGGAGCGGAUGUUCGUGAUGGGUCGAGCCUCGAUCCAUUUGGAGAAUUUGUCGAUGGCCACCAGCAAAUGGGUGUAUCCCCCUGCUGCUUUCUGUAGGGGCCCUACUAGGUCGAGUCCCCAUACCGCGAACGGCCACGUGGUGGGGAUCAUUUGGAGAGCGUGGGCGGGGAGGUGCAUCUGCUUGGUGUAAAAUUGACACCCAUGGCACGAGCGUACGAGCUCAACGGUGUCAGCUACGACCGUUGGCCAGUAGAAGCCUUGUCGGAAAGCGUUCCCUACGAGGGUCCGCGGAGCAGCGUGGUGGCCACAAGCCCCCGAAUGUAGAUCUUCGAGGAGCUUUCGGCCUUCCUCUGUGGUGAUACAGCGCUGCAAGAUUCCUGUCGGGCUUCGUCGGUAUAGCUCAUUGCCUUCGCCGUAGAUUACGUAUGACUUGGCCCGUUGAGCGAUACGGUGGGCCUCGGAUCGAUCUUUUGGUAGCUUGCAACGAAUCAGGCAGUCGAGGAACGGCAUGCGCCAGUCGAACAGUCGACCGGGUCGCUGCUCUGCCUCCAUUUCCUCUGCUGCUGCUAGCAGUGCCUCGAUGGUGUCAGUUUGUUGUGGGGCGGUGGUUUCGACAUCAGCCCCCGCGCCCAAGUCGACGGAUGGCUUGUGGAGAUCUCUCGAGAAUGCGUCGGGCGGGAUCGUGCCUCGAGUGGACGCGAUCUUAGCGAGUUCGUCGGCUACCUCGUUGUAGCGUCGAGCGAUGUGGACGAGUUCGAGGCCGUGGAACUUAUCCUCGAGCCGACGUACCUCCUAGCAGUAUGCCUCCAUUUUUGGGUCGUGGCAGUUGGAGGCUUUCAUCACUUGGUCGAUGACGAGUUGGGAGUCGCCUCGAAUGUCGAGGCGCCGAACUCCUAGCUCGAUGGCAAUUUUCAGCCCAUUGACAAGGGCCUCGUAUUCCGCAACGUUGUUAGAUGCAGCAAAAUGUAUCCUGAUGACAUACCUCAUAUGAACACCCAAGGGCGAGAUGAAUAGCAGGCCCGCCCCCGCUCGCGUCUUCAUGAGAGACCCGUCGAAAUACAUCGUCCAUAGCUCUGCUUGAACCUGAGUCGGGGGGAGUUGGGAGUCCGUCCAUUCUGCGACGAAAUCCACCAGAUCUUGAGACUUGAUAGCUUUGCGGGGCGCAUAAGUGAGAGUCUCGCUCAUGAGCUCGACCGACCAUUUGGCGAUUCUUCCCGUGGCCUCCCGACUUUGGAUGAUCUCACCCAAGGGGAAGGACGAGACCACCGUGAUAGGGUGGCCAAGGAAGUAAUGUUGCAGCUCGUGUCGGGCGAGGAUCACGGCGUAGAUUAGCUUCUGGAUCUGUGGGUACCGUGCUUUGGUCUCUGAAAGCACCUCGCUGACGAAAUAGACCGGCCUCUGGACUGGCAGCGCAUGCCCCUCCUCCUGCCUCUCGACCACUACUGCUGCACUGACGACCCGUGUUGAGGUGGGACUAGGACCGGGGCGGAGGUCAGUGUUUUCUUCAAGUUAUCGAGGGCUUCCUCGGCUUCGGGGGUCCAAGAGAAACACUCGGCUUUUUUCAAGAGCCGAUACAGUGGCAAUGCCUUUUCUCCCAACCUCGUGAUAAAACGACUCAGCACCGCCAAACAUCGCGUGAGCUUUUGCACUCCCUUGACGUCUCGGAUCGGCCCCAUUCUCGUGAUGGCCGAGACUUUCUCGGGGUUGGCCUCGAUGCCGCGUUGGGAGACUAUGUAUCCCAGGAGCAUGCCUCAGGGUACACCAAAGACGCAUUUCUCGGGGUUGAGCUUGAUCUUGUUGGCGCGUAUGCAACUGAAAGCGAUCUCGAGGUCCCAAAUCAGGUCUCCCCGUUGCAUUGACUUCACAACGAUGUCGUCGACGUAUGCCUCGACCGUCGACCCUAUAUGCUUGCCAAACACGUGGAGCAUGCAUCGCUGGUAUGUUGCUCCCGCGUUUCGAAGCCCGAACGGCAUGGUUACAUAACAAUACAUCCCAAAAGGCGUGAUGAAAGAUGUCGCGAGCUGGUUGGACUCUUUGAUUUUUAUUUGAUGGUAACCAGAAUAUGCAUCAAGGAAAGAAAGGGUUUCACAUCCCGCAGUAGAAUCAACAAUUUGAUCGAUACGUGGUAAUGGAAAAGGAACUUUUGGACAUGCUUUAUUUAAACUUGUAUAAUCGACGCACAUCCUCAUUUUCCCAUUCUUUUUCUUAACUAGUACAGGGUUUGCUAACCAGUCAGGAUGGUGAACCUCCUUGAUGAAUUCGGCCGUCAAAAGCUUGUGGAUCUCCUCACCAAUGAUCUUGCAUUUCUCCUCGUCGAAGCGACGCAACCGUUGUUUCACUGGUUUGGAACCGGCUCGAAUUUCCAAGGAGUGCUCGGCGACUUCCCUCGGUAUGCCUGGCAUGUCUGAGGGACUCCAUGCAAACAUGUCGGCGUUUGCACGGAGGAAGUCGACGAGCACGACUUCCUAUUUGGGGUCGAGGUCGGCGCUGAUCGUUAGCACCUUGCCGUCGGAGUUGGUGGGGUCGAGCGGGAUCUUCUUCGUUCCUUCCGUCGGCUUGAAGCUGCCCGCGUGACGCUUGGGCUCUGGAGCCUCUGCGGCCAGGGCUUCGAGCUUCGAGGCGAGCUCGGUGGAGUUCUCGACAGCUUCCCCAUACUCAACGCAUUCGACGUCGCACUCAUACGCGUGCUCGUAGGAGGAGCUGACGGUGAUGACGCCCUUGGGUCCAGGCAUCUUCAGCUUCAAGUAGGUGUAGUUGGGGAUAGCCAUGAACUUGGCGUAACCCGGGUGCCCGAUGAUGGCGUGGUACGUGCCCCGGAAUCCCACCACCUCAAAGGUGAGGGUCUCCUUUCUAAAAUUGGCCGCCGUGCCAAAGCAGACCGGCAGGUCGAUUCGACCUACUGGCAACGCCUUCUUUCCAGGCACGACACCAUGGAAGCCGCCGGCGCUUGGUUGGAGCUACGCCCUGUUGAUGCCGAGAAGGUCGAGGGUCUCGAGGUAGAUGAUGUUCAGGCUGCUGCCACCGUCCAUCAACACCUUCGAGAGUUUGGCGUUGACGAUGAUGGGGUCGACGACAAGCGGGUAGACGCCAGGGGCGACUACCUUGUCGGGGUGGUCGUCUCGAUCGAAGGUGAUGGGAGUGCUUGACCAGCUGAGGUACUGGGGCACUGCCAUCCUUGCCACAAAGACCUCGCGGCGCCCCUCUUGCGCUGCCUUGCGGUUAGAUACGUCGAGGGUCCACUGUAGAUCAUGUAGCAGUCAUGGACGGCUGGGAACCCUUCGUCAUCUUUGUCGUCCCCCUUGUCGCCGUUCUUCUCUUUCUUCAGGUCGUCACAGGUGUCCUUCUUGAACCCCAGGCUGUCGAAGUGCUUCUUUAGCAUACGGCAGUCUUCGAGCUUGUGGUUUGCCCCUCCCUUAUGGUAAGGGCAGGGCUCCUUUAGCAUUUUGUCAAAUAUAGCCCCCUCUGGGGGUCCUCGAGGCCUUUUGCACUCCAUGGUGGCGAUGAGAUCGUCGUCGAGGUCCUCUCGCUGGAAAGGCCGUGUUUUCUUCUUCUUGUUGUUCUUCUUGGGUCCUCGACUGGGGCCCUCAUCAUCAUCGGCAGACGGCUUGCCUUUCCAUCCUUCGCAGCUGAAGAAGGCGCCGACUGCUUCUUCCCCUACAGCGUAAUUUGCCACUACGUCCAUCAGCUCGUCGAUGGUCUGAGGACGAUUCCGGCCUAACUCCCGCACCAAAUCUCGACUGGUGGUGCCUGAGACAAAGGCUAGGAUGACGUCGUGGUCUGGGAUGUGCGACAGCUCGGUGCGUUGCUCCAAAAAGCGUCGAGCAUACUCCCGGAGAGUUUCUCCUGACUUCUGCUUGCACUUGCUGAGGUCCCACGAGUUGCCGGGUCGUAUGUAGGUCCCUUUGAAGUUGCCCUCGAAUACUUUGACCAAAUCGACCCAAUCGUGGAUCUGGUCGGCCGGGAGCUCUUCGAGCCAUCUGCGGGCGGUGUCGGAGAGGAAAACUGGUAGCUGUCGGAUGAUGGCUCGAUCGUCCCCUCGAGCGCCUCCCAGCUGACAGGCUAGCCUGAAGUCUGCCAGCAACAGCUCUAGCUUGGUCUCGCUGUUGUAUUUAGCAAUGCUGGUCGGGGGUCGGAAUGGGCUGGGCAGCGGCGUGCUGCGGAUUGCCCUGCUGAACACCCGAGGGACCGGCGGUUCCGGGCCAUCCGGACCUCGUCGCUGUCGUAUCUCCCGCCGCGGUGGGCGCUGUAACCGCGCUCUUCUGCGUCCCCAUGCCGACGGCGACGAUUCUCGUUGAUGUCGCGUCGUGCGUCGUGUCAUCGUUGGUUGUCGACGGGGAGGACAAGUGCUGCCUUUUUCCCUCAAGAGGGCGGCUGCUGAUGGACUGACACCUCCUUUUCAUUCUGGGCCGGCUCAUCACGCUUUUCUGUGGCCACUCCUGGACGUCGAGAGGCCGAGCUCUCGGCAUGCUGAACUGCCGCCACCUGGAGCAAAGUUUGCACCUCGUCUCGAAUGCGUCGUGCUUGGGAGUUCGAUAGUUCGGGCAUAUUACGUAGCAGCAUUGUCGCUACCACGACGUUCUGGCCCGCUCGAGGGAAAUGGCUGACGGGCUGCUCAGGCUCUCUGUCUCCGACGAUCUACCGAUGUACCUCUCGAGCCUGUCUGUGGACAUUUCCGCCAGGUGGGUAAGGCUGGUCUUGCUUGAGGAUCUGUUCAAGCAGAACAAGGCGCUCGCGAUCCUCAUCGAGCUUCGCUUUGAGCUCUCGUAGCUGCGCAAGUUGCGUGGUUCUGUCUUCUUGUGGAUGGGGGUUGGCUUGACCGUCGUUCCCAAGCGUCCUGCGGUCUUCCCUUGUUGCAGGGGCUCGACCGCCAGCAACGGCGUCUUGUGUCUCGUCGGUAGUUUCUACCACCCCGUCGAUGUGGAAGCAUUCCCUAGUAGGGUCAUAGCUGUCGGACUCAGAGUCGGAAUCCGGCUCGGCGGCAUAGAAGCAUCCAUGUCCCUCCUCUAGCAGCCGUUGCCCAAGUGAGGUGAUCGUGUAUCGCCCAGGUCCUAGGCGACGGAGGCCUCGUACCUGGGAGAAAUCCGGCAGCUUGGACGUCCAUCGCUGUACUCCAGUGUCGCGUGGGAGGACCAUUGGUCUCUCCACGUACGUCUGGGUGUUUGGACAUAUCGUCCUGGCGAGCGACGCCGCGGCAUUGUCCAAACCGAACGACAGCGCUCUUCUUCGGGCGAACAGCCCAUGUGGAAGUAGCGUAGUGGUGGGCGAGAGCACGCAGGGCGCGCCAUCUCCCAUCGUCGUCGUGCGAUCCUCGUGGCGGUGGGUUGUCAUACCCGCGAUUUCGGCACACAGGGCUGUCAGCUCCUGUGUCACCUCCUGCUUGGCACGAACCGUCGAUUGUGAUGAGGCAGAAUGGUGAUGGUGGCGCUGUCCACGCCUCUUCUUGGGCGGGGAGGCAUGGUGGCGAGGUCGUCUCGGAGCCCUCAAUGAUGCUGGUGCAACGCGAGCUCCUCCCGAUCCUUUGACCGAGAGCAGGAUCAUGUCAUAGCCAAAACUGGUAGACAUGAACUCGAGGCUCCCGAACCAAAUCACCGUGGAGCGUAGAUUCAGCGAAACGAGAGUGGCCAUCUGGAAAGGAAUGGGAAAUUGGUGAAAAACACGCAGGACCCCUACCUGGCGCACCAACUGUCAGUGUUUUCCCCCGGGGGGGUCACACCAACGAGUGAAACUUGUAUGCGUGCUCCCCUUUCCAGAUGGUGAUGCAAGAAAAGACACAAAGAUUUAUCCUGGUUCGGGCAAGAGAAGCCCUACGUCCAGCGGAGGGAGGAGAGUUUGUACUAUCUUGCACCUAAGUGCUUGUACAGGGGUGAAUACAGGCGUGUAUGAACUAAGAUGUGUAAGGCUGUUCUACUACGUGAGUCUUGUGUUGUGUUGCGUGUGUUCUAUCCGUUCCCGGGCCUCCCCUUUUAUAUUUCUAAGGAGAGGCCUAGGGUACAUGUAUAGGCGUCCGAGUAGGGGUCGAUAGAGGUAUGGCGCGCUGACCUACUCGAGGCCUCCGUACCGGCGUGGUCUCGAGCCAUCUUGUCUUGGUACCUUGAUGAUGAUUAUGCGUGCCCCUAUAUCCCGCUCUGUGCGCCGUCCUGGACUGGUUUAUCUGUUGCACGCUGUCACUCGUCGCCCGACCCUUCCCCAGGAAGGAAACGUGCCUACUCGAGGGUCGGGUGCUGUGUAACGCCUCGCUAGCCAGAGCGCUGACCUUGGGAGUCUCGAGCGGGGUCUUGAUUAGUCGUUCCGACCCACUCCAUGCAUCGUGCCACGUUCUGGCUUGUUUGGUGGGGAAGGCUGCAAAAAGAAUGACAGGAUGGGUGCCUGUUCCCUAUCACGCUUCCCGUGACUGGCGGGUUAGGUGAGAACACGGCAGGCGCAUUAAAUGCACUAGUUCCCAUGCCCGCGUCAGGCGGCGGGCGGUGUCCAUGCGCUCGAGGUCUCCUGAUUCGUACGAGCCUGUUUCUGUAUUCGACGGUAGCCGGCACUCGAGCCUUGAUCGAUUCGCAGGACGCUCUUUCCGUGUUCGAGACUAUGGUCGUCGAGGACCAUGCACACAACUGGGCAUCGAGUUGGAUGCCUCGACUUGUGUACGGAUACUCUUGAUAUGCUCAUCAGUUAGGGUACCCCUUACUGAUAUCCUCGACACAACUCCUAUACGUAACGCAUCAAUAGAUAUAACAUAAUCAAGUAAACUUUCAAAAUUAAAGUGGGAGACUUAAGAUGCUCCGGGGCUUGCCUUUCACGAAUGAUGCAGGCUCGUGAUUCGGGCACUCAAUCUCUUCUUCGGGCUCCUCGUGUCCGGCUUGCUGGACCUCCACCUCCGGGUUGAUCUCUUGGCCCUCGGGGUUCACUUGGAGCUCGAACGCAACGGUCGUUUCCGGUGCACCUAUUGCAUGCACGAUGAAUAAGAAUGUGUGCAUACUUGUUGACACCAUUUUUGGACACGUAUCUUUUGAUACGCAUCUGGAGUUAAUGAGAUGUGAAUCGGUAGAUGGAGCAGUGGUGACCAGUCUGUAGGGAAGUUGCCGAUAAAGGUGGCUGCCGAUGGGAAACAAUUGGAUAUGACUAAGUCCAGAAGUGGUGAUGUAUUCAUGCCGAUGACCAAUGCCGGUGUUUGUCGAUGACUCUGAAGAAAAGCACGGAAGUUGCCGAUUGAUUCACGAUGGUGUCCCGAUCGAUUACGGGGGUAGUUUAAUGUUUUCCUUAGUUGAUAGAAUUCGUUUUAUAUACUGUUUCUGUUUAAUUUGGAAUUUGAGUCCUAGCCAUGUCUGGUUGUAGCUCUUUGAACAGGGUAUAAAUAUGGACCCUAGGGCAAUGUAAUGAGACAUCUAUCAAUCAAUCAAACACAAGUUUUUACUCAUAUCCCAACAUCUACUUUUCGACGACUUCACCAUACUUUCCCUUUUUACUACGAGUUCUUAGGAAUUCGUCGAGUCAAACUCGACAUGUUCUCAAGUUCCGCAUGAGCACCUCUUGGCCGUGACAUCCGGGCACAUCACUGUUGUCGGGACCAAAGUGUUCGAGUUACCACCUUUAUCGAUUGUAAGGUCAAAUCGGCUGGCACGCCUUAACGUUUGAAUCGGGUAUUAGCCCUUUGUGUUUGCAGAACAGCUUUUGCACCAACACAUCUUUUGGCACGCCCAGUGGGACAUAUUCAAGAUCAAGAUCAACAUGUCGAAUACCGAUUUCGACUUGGAGAACGUUAUUCCCGUGACAGAGGCCAAUCUCAGAGAUGAGCAGAAGCAAGCUAUGACAAAAGCCAUGGAGGAGUAUAAGCAGCAAUGCUUGAAAUCCUUCAGUAUCAAUAGGAGUGGCGAGGUGAUCCAAAAGGAAGCACUGGCGGCACCUCGGCAGAUUACUUUUGAAGCUAGUCCUGGUAAACUUCAAGACAUGGUUGACAGCGCUAUUAACCGUGCUUUAAUCAAUCAAGCUGGUGUACUGUCCACCACGGUUUUCAAUGCGGUGGCUAGAACUUUCAAGGAAGGGCAAUUACCACCAAAUUACGUGGGUCCUGCCUAUCAUCAGCCAGGGUCAUCAUUGGUUACAGCUCCAUCGGCUACUACAGUCGUAGCGGGUACAGAAGUUACUUCUCCUCCAAGCACAUUAGGGGUCACUAAUACGCAAUCUACACCGAUGACGACCAAUCCAUCAACAUCAGAAGGGCAAAUCAAGCUUGCCACAGAUCUAUUGGCAUCGGCAAUGUCGGGAUCUGUUCCUCCCAACUGGUGGGGUUUUGGUAUGCCCCCAGAGAUGAUGGUGAAAGCUCCUGGAACGUCUCAAGUGGCUGACAUGAUAGGCAAGGCUCCUAUGGCAUCGGCACCUCCAAAUCCGCCGAUGAAUCAGAGUCCCCAGUACACUACAACUACUACUGCAAGACCUUACACUGGGAAUUCUCAAGCUCCAAAGUUCCAGAUGCCUAACGCAUCGGCAGAUUCAAUGCCGACACAACAGAGGUUUAUGACACAGUGAGGGUAUAUCAAUUCAAUGAUGACGCCCAAUUAUCAGUCAUCGGUAGGGCUUAUGCUGAUGAAUGCUAACAGUGGAUGGACAGGACAGUUAGUCUUUCCACAGAUGCCUCAGCAGAGUCAUCAGGCUGCAGGGUUUCAACAAGGCCAAAUCCAACCUGGGUUUUAGAAUCAAGGGUUGGUCAACCAGCCGAUGAAUCUUCGUCAGCAAAUUGGUGGUCAGAUGAUUAACCCAAUGUUUCAUACGGAUCGUGCGCCUCAGAGACACGUGGAAGCAUAUCAGCAGGUGCCAGAUCCACAACCGCCUCAUCGACAAGAUGCCGAUGCUUAUUGGGCCGAUAAGAUAGCUGAAGUAAUGAGAGACCAAUUUGGGAUAAAGCCCAAAGUCAACACUUACUCUUAUCGGACACCGUAUCCUCCUGCAUAUGAUUUAAUUCCACUUCCAAAUUGGUACAAGGUACCAGAUUUCACUAAAUUUUCUGGACAAGAUGACACAUCAACUAUGGAGCAUGUCAAUAGGUUCAUCAUCCAAUGUGGGAAAGCUGCUAACAGAGAUGAGUUAAGGGUUCGUCUGUUCUCAUCAUCUUUGUCCGGAUCGGCUUUUGCUUGGUCUAUUUCGUUACCUCCCAACUCAGUAAUCACUUGGGUCGAUCUAGAGAAGCAAUUCCAUAAAUACUUCUUUUCUGGAGUUCAUGAGAAGAAGAUCACCGAUUUAGUCAGGCUGAAGCAACGCAAUGAUGAAUCGGUUGAAAGCUUUGUGCAGAGGCUGCGAGAGGUUAAGAAUAAGUGCUAUAGUCUGGUUCUAGAUGAUCAGCAGCUAGCCGAUUUCGCGUUUCAGGAAUUGUUGCAACAUAUCAGAGACAAGUAUGCUUCUUAAGAGUUUGAGAGUCUGAGUCAUUUGGUCAGAGGAUUUCUGACCAAGACAUUAAGCCUUUUGAACCCAAAAGGGUGUUGGGUAUUUUAAACGCAAACAGAAAAAUCCGCAAGCGCACGGAUACUGAUGUAGCCUUCACCCGGGAGUAUUCCAGAGUAUCGAUUUUCCACAGAGAACGUGAGUGUACUAAUUAAGACCCAAGAUCGCCCAAGGAUAACUAUAUAAUUGUUUUUGGUGGGAAGAGAGGAAGUUUCCUGAGAGUUCUCUUGUUGAUCUAAGAAACAAGAAUUACUUCAAGAUUAUUUAUAUCGGGACAUCAGAGCACUAACCACAGAAAGAGAUGAGAAGGGGGCUAGGAAGGUCUGACUACGGUCCUACAAACACCGAUCCGAAUGUGGUGGAAUACGUCGACCGUUAGGGCUGUCACUACCCUAAGGCUACCACAACAAUCCGCAGGAUUGGGUGCAAUUCCAGGUAAUCGCAAGACUAAACACCACAUCUAAUCUAUUGAUUACUACUCUAAUGUUUCAAAGACUAGAGCACUUGAUGCAAGCGGGAAAUCCAAUAAAUAACUUGAAUGUAAAUAAAAGUAAUUAGAGAACUCAGGAGUUAUGAGUUGAAGAACCUGGAGAACGAUGAAGAACGAACCAGAUGCUGUAAAAGUACAAUGUUGAGGAAGAUCCGACAGAUCCGGCUCCUCCUCCGCUCUCCUCUUCUCUCUCCCUAUUUUCUAGAUUACAACUAGAACUAACUAGAACUAGAUGAACUAGAACUAGAUCUAGAUGAACUAGAGGUAGAACUAGAAGAACUAGAGGGAUCCUCUCUACUUGGAUGAAGAAUUGAAACCCUAACUUUGAUUCUGUAGAAGAGGUAUGAUCUCCAGGGGCCAGGGGGGUCUGGUUUUAUAGUCCCUUCAAGUGAAUCUGGGCCGUCGGAUCAAACCGACAUUGAUUGAACGGUUAUUGUUGAUCCUUUAGGUCGGUAGAGCAAUAUCCCGAAAGAGAGUCCUGAUUGGACUCUGGCUGAGGGCGGGCGCCCAGGAAAGGAGGGCGGGCGCCCUGUCCCUGUGUCCUCUCGGCCUCCGCUUCGGUCCCGUGGCUUCUGGAGUCUUCUAGAUGAUAGAAAAUUAUGCAGCACGUUAAUAUCUCUAUGUAAACCCGACGUGUGGGCCUUUCUUCCGUAUUUCCUGAUAACCCCCUGCAGAAAUAGACAAACACCAAAACUCGUGGAAUUCUGUCAGAUAAAACCCUAAGUUUAGGUGUUGGUUGCAUUUGGAUCCUUUUCUAUGAUUAGUUGAUGGUUAAAUGUGAGCAUUAAGGACCGUCAACAAGCUCCCCCAAGCUUAACCUUUGCUCGUCCCUGAGCAAAGAUGGACUCAAGAGUUUCUGCAGUGGUUUCAUGCCUUAAAGAUACACAUGCGUUUAAACAAGAUUUCAUCUCUAGGUUAGGGUAAACUUUUAAGAUUUAAACUUACUCAUUUUACCUUCCACCAUGGGGUUUGUAACCGUCACUUGUGUCUUGAGGAGUUAAAAAAUAGAACGGUCUAGUCAAGCACCAUGUCUCUUGUUCUUCGAUUAACUAUAGCUCUGGAGUUUUUGCAGAUUUUCAAAUAAAACUCAGAGAUUCCUUGUAUGACACUCUCUGGUCUCUCUUUUGUGGUAUUUCUAGAUCCUUACCAAGGUAGUAAUGGUAUAUGCCUUCUCUCAAAGUAUGUGGUAUUUGUGGUAUAAGGCAUAGUGACAUCGCCUUCUCUCUCACCCUAUUCUAAUAAGGUUUUGAUAUCUGGAGCUCAUAGGUGGGAGAUAAAGUAUACAUACUUACAAGACAUGUAUUGUAUAGUCAAACCAUGGAUCCAGAAGAACAAGUCAAUAAGUCAAAUCAAGAUGUGCAUGUGUGGCGAAUGAAUGGUGUAUGGUGAUGAUGGUGAUAACAAUGGUGAAAGUCUAAUUCUACUUAUGCUCUUUUGAGGGGAUACAUACCUUUUCUUUUUCUUUUCUCUCAGGUGGGUAUCUUGUACCCCUAAUUCUACUGUCGGACACUUGUCCAUUUUUACCUCUCGUCUCACUUUUUUCUUUUCUUUCGAGGUUCCGGGCACUUGCCCCUUUUUAUUUCCUCGUAUCUCUCUUUUUUUUCUUUUUCUUCUCUUUUUUUUAGAGCACUCAUCUCAUGAGAUAAUAUAGCAAGUGGUAGUAACAAGAUAACUUGAGCAUUUAUUUCACAGGGGAAAAACAGAAAUAUUUUUGGCUAUUCUCUCCCGGAUUAGGAGUAGAAUAUUUUUGGGUGGUUCUGGAGAUGGAAAUGGAUAUAUGUGGAUGCGUACUUCCGGAGUAGAAGCAGCAUGUAUGAGUGAACGUGCAAGUGAAUCUUGAUUUAACCACAUGACAAGCUCCUAAGGGUCUACACAGCUUGACCACACUCAAUGCUCAUAAGCAGUAAAAAGUAAAUGUGUGGCUCAAAGUCUAGCAAGCAUGUACAUAUGGCUGUGGUAGGAAUUUAAACUCUCAUCAUACAGGAACUCAUCAUGCAACAUUUUAAAGGUUUUCAAAGAUAAAAUUCUCCAGAAUUCUAGCAUCUCUAGGAACAGAUAAAUAGCAGCUCAACCUUCCCAUAUCGUAUCCGUUAACAACUUAGACUUUAGAUCAAGUACUCUCCCCACAAGUUCAGGUUUAGAGCAAAACUUAAUUCAUAACAGUGAUGCCUAAACUUGAGAGAGAUUUCAAUUUUGAGAACUAGUCAUGGCAGAGCAACUAUUCAUCAUUUCCAUGUGAGAGCUUAUCAUGAGGGUUCAUAGCAAACUUUAUUUAUUUAUUUAUUUAUCAAACUAAGCAAAGAUAUAUAUAUAAGCACAAAAUCUUUAUUUGGGUUUUUAUGAUUAUGCAUCUUUUUAUUAUUAGAGUAAAGUAUAAACGUGAGUGGAAUACUUAGCUGGAUAAAUGGGGGUGCUCUCCCCCAAGCUGGAUUUUGACAUAAUUUCUUCUGAUGUAGCUAGCAGAUGGCAGAGGUGUAUUUGAAUGUCGGCAGCACUCUGACAGCGAUUAGGAUGUCCUCUGUCUGCUAGUCUUCUUUGAUCCUUGAAUUCUGUGGAGCUCAAAUAGACAACAAAGCUUUGUGGAACUAGUUAAGUGUUAGCAUAAAUACCUAGCCUUUAUCAUGUUGAGCUUCCUCUACUAAAUAUUACUCUCUUUGGUAGGAUUAUAAAUUUAUUUUUAUAUUUUCAUUUUUAUAGGACAGGAAUAUAUUUAUUUUUACGCCACAACAGUGAAUGUACUUAUGGGUUUUAUGCCAUGAGCAUACUCACAUGGGGCUUACUAUUUUUAACAUUUUUGUUUUCUUUUCAAGAUGGUAUGAACCUGGUUAACUAAGCAAACUAUUUUAAAUAAUUGAAAGGGAAAAAGGAUAACUACCAAGUUUACCUCUUGGCAAGGCGUUCGGUGUUUUUAAGUCCUCCGAACGGGACUCUCUAUUUUCUCAGUUGUCCUGGGAUUCGCUGGAUGGCGUAGUCGGUGGUUCCGGCAGCGCCUGGUCUUCAUGUAUAACUAUCUUCUCUCUCCACACCUGACUCGGUGCUACGGUCUCCUCAGGACAGUUCUGUUCAAGCUGUA